UACUCUAAAGUACCAGAUGAACAAAAUAUUGUAGCUAAGAAAGGUAUAUCAAGUGGACACGUGUAUCUACGAAAUGUUGUUACAUGGUCCAUAUGAAUGAGUCAUUCUUGCAUUUUUAAAAUAGCACUUGCAUGGUGUUUUCCUGUAACGAAUCACUAACAACUUGUAAGACGUGAUCCCAGUGGAUGAGCCAUGAGAGCUGAGAGUAAAAAGUAUAUUUCAGCGCCACAGAAAAGAGAUGCAAUUUUAGUUAACCUGCAUUCUGCAAACCGAACCUAAAACCUAUUGGAACCCUAAACCAAUAAUUGCAGUUUCUGUAGAGCAUAUCUUGACUAUUUGCUCCUCUUAAGCAGCCCAUCAAUUUUCAUGACAAUUUUGCCUCUAGUGAUUCCUCAGAACACUGGUACGUGUACCCCUACAUCCACUUGGAAAAGUAUUCAAGAAUAAGACAUGCAUGAAGUAUCCACCUUACAGUACAAAAAAAUUAAUCUGACUAUUAUAUCUAUGGUACGUUAAGACCAUAGAUGAAACAAACCUUCCCUUUACUCCUGAACUAGGCAAGAAAUGCACAAUUGUGACAAUGGAGUUCGGUUUUAUGGUCUUAUUGUAUAGCACACAUCAAAUGACAUGAAAAGAAUGUGCAGAACAAUCUCUAAACAAGAGGGAAAAUACAAACAACCCUAAUUAAUUACCAGUCUUGCUACUGAUCUAUCUCAAGAAAAGAAAAACUAAUACAAUACUACUCCCUCUGUAGCUAAAUACUUGUAGUUGNNNNNNNNNNNNNNNNNNNNNNNNNNNNNNNNNNNNNNNNNNNNNNNNNNNNNNNNNNNNNNNNNNNNNNNNNNNNNNNNNNNNNNNNNNNNNNNNNNNNNNNNNNNNNNNNNNNNNNNNNNNNNNNNNNNNNNNNNNNNNNNNNNNNNNNNNNNNNNNNNNNNCAACUACAAGUAUUUAGGUACAGAGGGAGUAAUAAAAAGACUCCCUACACUUGUUGUACGCCAAGGGCAAUGAAGUAGAAAGCCCUCCUAAAAGGAACAAAUAGAAAUCGGUGCUCUUUACUGUGGCGUGGGCGGGGAAAAACUCACGUGCUCUUCCUUCCAGUUGCCGGGGUUCAGGGGCUCCUGCCACAUGUUGACUUUGGUCGAUCCGUGGUGAUCUGUUCAAGCACACAAGAGGUGAAUCGAUCGAUCAAAAAAAGUACCGAGGCAACAAUCACAAGGACGCGCCGCAACAAAAUAAAGAGGGAAAUGCGCCCUGAUUUCUGGCGGACAGCAGGCCCCCCUUAUGCUGCCUGUAUCCCCCUAAUGGACAACCAAUUGCACAACAGAGUCGUGGCCAACAACCGUGUACGGCCGACGCAGGACCGGCCGAUCCGAACGAUCCGUGUGUGCGAUUCUCGGAUCUGGGAAGGGGAGGAGAAGGCGCGCAUUCUCAGAUCCAGCCAUACCUGCGGCGCCGGCUAGACGGCGGCUGGAGAUGAGGCGGGCGAGGGGGGAGGAAGACGAGGAGGAGGAGGAGGCCGCCGCAAGCAGACGAGACGCCAUCGCUUCGAUUCGACCUAGUUGGGCGAUGUGUCUGGAGAGCGCAAAUCCUCUUAACCCUAAAUGCUGGUGCCUGGUGUGGUGGUGGUGGAUAUGUCGCGUCCUCGGCCCGCUCCCCGCUCAAAGCGUUCUGGCCGUAAUUGGAUCUCAGACAUGGUCCACUGCUCAGAAUGGUUUUGGUUUUUUCUUUACGGUGAUAAAAGAAAGAUUUAGGGAUGUGCAACCCGGUAGGGCCUGUUUGGGACUCCUCUGCUCCUUCAAAUUCAGCUCUGAUUAAAAAAAACAAAUCAAACGGGGUAGCUUCACGGUAUGUCACUCCGCAAAAAAACUAGAAUUUGGGAUAAAACUUCAAAGUUUUUAUGAAGCUCCUCAGAUGGUGCUUCCAAAAACUCUAGAAGCUGGAGUUGGGGGAAAAUUACCCACCACUGACACCAGUAAGUGGAUACCCCUUCAUUUCUUUCCCCUCAACCAAUCAAAUAGAUUCUUUUCACCAGAUUUUCUAUUUUUAAAGCUGGAGCUAGAUGAAAGCCAAACAUUCUCUUAAUAGUGUUAUAGCUUUUGUAUGAAACUGCUUCAAAGUGAAUUUGAUGAAGUGAAGCUGAUUUUGGUGAAUUGAAGCAGUCCCAAACGGGCCUAUUUCUCUCCCGCAAAUGUCCCUUUUUAGAGCAUCUCUAGCAGACCCCGUAAAAGAGUGAUUCAUAAAAUGCGUUUACACGAUGCUGUGGAUCAAUUUUGCGGGGUCGUUUCACGUAUCAAAGAUUACACCAUGUAUAUGAAACUGUAAAAUUUGAAGAAAAAACAUUCACGGGUGAAACCACAUCAUGGUUCUUCAUCAAACUACAUCAUUUUUCAUCAGCAAACUACAUCAGUUCUUCAUACUACUAGGUAGGGGGACUGGGGGCCGUGCAGCGUAUCCGAGCCUAGGCAACCAAAAAUGACGGGUGUGGCGGUGACGACGUGGCGGAGGAGCCGGAGGAGCUCAGUCGGAGUCGAUCCAGAUAUUGUCCUGCUCGGCCUUCAUGACGCGCAGGUCCGCCUCCUUGGACGCGCUCGCUUGCGGCGUUGUGACGCCUUGCUCGAGGAAGAUCUGCUCGAUCUCGAGCUCGCGGCAGUUGUGCGCGGCGACCUCCUCCGCCUCCCUCACCGAACGAUCCAUGAUGGCGCAAAGCCGGUCAUUAUUUCUCUCCCGCAAAUGUCCCUUUUUUGCGUUUGCACUGUGUCCGUGGACAAGAUACCACAUGCUGCCAUCCAACGUUGCCCCCUUCAAAAACGAUUCAAACUAACCGACCGAAAUUUGUUCAAACACAACGGAAUUUAUCCAAAUUCGGUUAUAAUUUACAUAAAAGAUAAAUAUUUUGACUAUUUUGCAAAACAAAUAAGAAAAUAACCUAAACCAUUAUCGGACGACCACCUCAUACGUGUGGCAGCACUGCCCUGCCGCACUGUCGUAGUUGUCGUCGUGGUCCCUCUGACGACAGGACAACCUUGAAGGGUCGCGGCAGCCUUGCGUGAAGGUUGGCUCCGCUCGCGGAGGAGCCGCUCUGCAUCCUGCUGUGCAAUGCGGAGUGAUGUCGCACCCACUGCCGACGUCGCCAGAGCCCUAUCGGCCCUUGCAACAUUCCAUGGGUGCACAUUGAGUGGACGUAUACCUCGCCAAAUGGGUCGUGUCAAUCGGGUCAGCCCGAUAGCACGCCAACCCGGCACGAGAUGGAUCCGGCCCGGCACGCUUUAAUCGUGCUCGUGCCCGGCACGCAUGUAACAGCCCGAGACUGACGCUUCAGAAGAUUCCCCUUUUAUUCCAUUUGUCGUCGUGUUAUUGUUUUGUUUGUCGCAUUCAUCAUUCGCAUCAUAUGCAUUGCAUCGGUACUCCGUUGCCGUCAGUUUCAAAACUUGUAUCCGUGAGCGUGAUGAUUAUGCUAUUUGGAGUUUCUUCUUCUUCAUCAUCAUCGAUCUAGGAUGGGUUCCAGGGUGGCAGCCUUGGAUAUCAAGGAUGGACGUCGUUACUUUAUCGUUUAUUUUCGUUCGUGGUCGGACCCUGUUCUUCUUGAUGAUGUGUGAUUAUGUUGUUGUAUUGAUGUGACUCUGAUGUAGCUUGUGGCGAGUGUAAGCCAAUUCCAUAUACUCUUAUAUUCUAUACAUGUACUUGUAACGAUAUUCAUUCUUGCGAAACGACGAGAUGUGUUUCUAUCUGUGUCGAGGCCUCGUGCCAAAAUAAGGAUAGGAUCCCAUCUUGGCCGUUACAACGCAGCACGCCUCGGCCCAUGUUUCGGCCUGGAGGCUGGGCACGCGGGCCGACACGGCACGACCCGUUUAAUUUAUAUAGAUUUUUUAGAUUUAUAUAUAUAUAUAGCCCAUGAGGCUAAAAAUAUGCGGUCCAGCGUGCUAAUCGGGCCAACAUGCCGACCCGUUUAAUAACCGGGGCGUAUCUGGGCCUGAAGGCGCAGCCCACGGGCUGGCACGGCACGACCCGAUUAAUAAACGUGCCGACGCGGGUCGUGCCGUGCCGGGCCGACCCGUUUGGCCUGGUAUGAGUGGAUGGGAAUUGAAUGAUACCCCUUAUGUAUUAAUUGCUGAAAUUCUUAGGGUUUGAUGUCGAAUACCAUAUAAGUUUUGAUAUUGAUGAUGUUAUGACUUAGUUUUGUUUAAUACUUGAUACUAGGGCCUGAUGAACGUGAUUUCAUAUCUGAACUAUAUGUGUUUUCAUGAAUAUUUAUGUGUUUGAAUCAUGAUACAUCUCCAACGUAUCUAUAAUUUUUUAUGGUUUCAUGUUAUUAUCUUGUCAAACUUUGGAUGUUUUACAUGCCUUUUAUAUAUUUUUUGGGACUAACUUAUUAACUCAGUGCCAAGAGCCAAUUCUUGUUUUUUCCAUGUUUUUUACCCCUUUCAGAGGAGGAUUUUGAACGGAGUCCAAACGGAAUGAAACUGCCAAAAAGAUUUUUUCCGGAACAGAAAAAUAUCAAAGUGCCGGAGAAUCAGGGCAGGGGGCCACCAAGGACCCCACAAGCCCUCACAGCGCGGCCAGGGCGGUCGCGGCCACGAGGCUUGUGGGCUCCCUGAGGCUCCGUCGCCCUAGGUUUUGCGCCUAUAUAUUCCCUAAAAAUCCAUAAAUAAUCAGGAGAUCAUCGAAAGUACUUUUCCGCCGCCGCAAGCUUCUGUCUCCGCAAGAUCCCGUUUGGGGCACGUUCUGGUGCCGUGCCGGAGGGGGGAUUCGGAUACGGAGGACUUCUUCAUCAACACCAUGACCUCUCUGAUGAUGCGUGAGUAGUUCACCAUAGACAUACGGGUCCAUAGCUAGUAACUAGAUGGCUUCUUCUCUCUCUUGGAUCAUCAAUACAAAGUUCUCCAUGAUCUUCAUGGAGAUCUAUCCGAUGUAAUCUUCUUCUACGCUGUGUUUGUCGAGAUCCGAUGAAUUGUGGAUUUAUGAUCAGAUUAUCUAUGAAUCUUAUUUGAGUUUCUUCUGAUCUCUCUUAUGCAUGAUUUCAUAUCCUUGUAAUUCUCUUCGAGUUGUAGGUUUUGUUUGGCCAACUAGAUCUAUGAUUCUUGCAAUGGGAGAAGUGCUUCGUUUUGGGUUCAUACUGUGCGGUGACCUCACCCAGUGACAGAAGGGGUAGCGAGGCACGCAUCGUGUUGUUGCCAUCAAGGGUAAACAGAUGGGGUUUUCAUCAUUGGUUUGAGUUUAUCCCUCUACAUCAUGUCAUCUUGCUUAAAGUGUUACUCUGUUCGCCAUGAACUCAAUACACUAGAUGCAUGCUCGAUAGCGCUCGAUGUGUGGAGUAAUAGUAGUAGAUGCAGAAAGUAUCGGUCUACUUGUCUCGGACGUGAUGCCUAUAUGUAUGAUCAUUGCCUUAGAUAUCAUCAUGACUUUGCGCGGUUCUAUCAAUUGCUCGAUAGUAAUUUGUUCACCCACCAUGAUAUUUUCUAUUUUGAGAGAAGCCUCUAGUGAACACUAUGGCCCCGGGGUCUACUCCACAACAUAUUUUCAGCCUUACACUUUUUACUUCGUUGCACUUUCCGCCUUCAAAUCUCACUUUGCAAACAAUCUUGAAGGGAUUGACAACACCUUUAUAGCGUUGGGUGCAAGCUCGUUCUGUUUGCGCAGGUACUCUGGACUUGACGAGACUCUCCUACUGGAUCGAUACCUUGGUUCUCAAACUGAGGGAAAUACUUACUGCUCCUGUGCUGCAUCACCCUUUCCUCUUCAAGGGAAAAACCAACGCAAGCAAGUCUCCGUCAACGCGUCAAUUUUUGGCGCUGUUGUUUGAGAAGUAGCAAGAAGAAUUUCUGGCGCCGUUGCCGGGGAGGAAGAUCAAGUCAAGAACUCAUCCAAGUAGGUGUCGCAAACUCAUCUCUUGCAUUUACUUUGUUUGCCAAUUGCCUCUCGUUUUCCUCUCCCCCACUUCACCAAUUUGCCUUUUUCGUUUGCCUUUUCCGUUUGCUUUUUCGUUCGCCCUUUUUCUCGCUUGCUCUUUGUUCGCUUGUGUGCUUUCUUGCUUGCCGAAGUCACCAUGAAUGAAAACACCAAACUCUAUGACUUCUCUAAUACUAAUAAUUAUCAUUUUAUUAGUACUCCGAUUGCUCCUGCCACUAGUGUGGAGUCAUACGAAAUCAAUGCCGCUUUGCUGAAUCUUGUUAUGAAAGAGCAAUUCUCCGGCCUUCCUAGUGAAGAUGUCGCAUCCCAUCUCAAUACCUUCAUUGAGCUUUGCGAUAUGCAAAAGAAGAAAGAUAUGGAUAAUGAUGUGAUUAAAUGAAGCUUUUUCCUUUCUCGUUGCGAGAUCGCGCAAAAACUUGGUUUUCUUCUUUGCCCAAAAAUAGUAUCAAUUCUUGGGAUAAGUGCAAAGAUGCUUAUAUAUCCAAGUAUUUUCCGCCGGCUAAGAUCAUCUCUCUCCGUAAUGAUAUCAUGAAUUUCAAGCAACUUGAUCAUGAACAUGUUGCACAAUCUUGGAAGAGAAUGAAAUUGAUGGUUAGAAAUUGUCCCGCUCAUGGCCUGAGUCUCUGGAUGAUUAUUCAAAUCUUUUACGCUGGCUUGAAUUUCGCUUCUAGAAAUAUCUUGGACUCCGCCUCAGGUGGAACGUUCAUGGAAAUCACGUUAGGGGAAGCUACAAAGCUCGUAGACAACAUCCUGACGAAUUACUCUCAGUGGCACACUAAAAGGUCACCUACUAGUAAGAAGGUACACGCUAUAGAAGAAAUUAACUCGUUGAGUGCUAAGAUGGAUGAGUUAAUGAAUUUGGUUGCUAGUAGAAGUGCUCCUUUAGAUCCUAAUGAUAUGCCCUUGUCUUCUUUGAUUAAGAGUAGCAACGCUAGCUUGGACGUUAAUUUUGUUGGUAGGAAUAAUUUGUUGGAAAUAUGCCCUAGAGGCAAUAAUAAAUUAGUUAUUAUUAUAUUUCUUAGUUCAUGAUAAUCGUUUAUUAUCCAUGCUAUAAUUGUAUUGAUUGGAAACACAAUACUUGUGUGGAUACAUAGACAAAACACUAUCCCUAGUAAGCCUCUAGUUGACUAGCUCGUUGAUCAAAGAUGGUCAAGGUUUCCUGGCCAUAGGCAAGUGUUGUCACUUGAUAACGGGAUCACAUCAUUAGGAGAAUCAUGUGAUGGACUAGACCCAAACUAAUAGACGUAGCAUGUUGAUCGUGUCAUUUUGUUGCUACUGUUUUUUGCGUGUCAAGUAUUUGUUCCUAUGACCAUGAGAUCAUAUAACUCACGGACACCGGUGGCAACACGUUGAUGGAGAUCAUGGUGUGGCGCCGGUGACAAGAAGAUCGUGUCGGUGCUUUGGUGAUGGNNNNNNNNNNNNNNNNNNNNNNNNNNNNNNNNNNNNNNNNNNNNNNNNNNNNNNNNNNNNNNNNNNNNNNNNNNNNNNNNNNNNNNNNNNNNNNNNNNNNNNNNNNNNNNNNNNNNNNNNNNNNNNNNNNNNNNNNNNNNNNNNNNNNNNNNNNNNNNNNNNNNNNNNNNNNNNNNNNNNNNNNNNNNNNNNNNNNNNNNNNNNNNNNNNNNNNNNNNNNNNNNNNNNNNNNNNNNNNNNNNNNNNNNNNNNNNNNNNNNNNNNNNNNNNNNNNNNNNNNNNNNNNNNNNNNNNNNNNNNNNNNNNNNNNNNNNNNNNNNNNNNNNNNNNNNNNNNNNNNNNNNNNNNNNNNNNNNNNNNNNNNNNNNNNNNNNNNNNNNNNNNNNNNNNNNNNNNNNNNNNNNNNNNNNNNACGAGCCUAGCAUGUGCAGACAUGGCCUCGGAACACAUGAGACCGAAAGGUCAAGCAUGAAUCGUAUAGUUGAUAUGAUUAGCAUAGAGAUGCUUACCACUGAAACUAUUCUCGACUCACGUGAUGAUCGGACUUGAGAUAGUGGAUUUGGAUCAUGUACCACUCAAAUGACUAGAGAGAUGUACUUUUUGAGUGGGAGUUCUUAAGUAAUAUGAUUAAUUGAACUAAUUGUCAUGAACAUAGUCUAAUGGUCUUUGCGAAUUACGAUGUAGCUUGCGCUAUAGCUCUACUGUUUUUAUAUGUUCCUAGAGAAAAUUUAGUUGAAAGUUGAUAGUAGCAAACUUUGCAGACUGAGUCUGUAAAAUCGAGGAUUGUCCUCGUUGCUGCACAGAAGGCUUAUGUCCUUAAUGCACCACUCGGUGUGCUGCACCUCGAGCGUCAUCUGUGGAUGCUGUGAACAUCCGACAUACACGUUUCUUAUGACUACACGAUAGUUCAGUACAAAAAUACUUAAUGGCUUAGAAGCAAGGCGCCGAAAACGUUGUAAAACGUCACAGAACAUAAGUGAUGUUCUAAAGAGAUGAAAUUGUGAUUUCAUGCUUGUGCCCUUGUUAAGAGGUACGAGACCUCCAACAAGAUUCUUUGUCCACAAAGUAAAGGAGAAAGGCUCAAUCGUUGAGCAUGUGCUCAGAUUGUCUGAGUACGACAAUCGCUUGAAUCAAGUGGGAGUUAAUCUUCCAGAUGAGAUAGUGAUAGUUCUCCAAAGUCACUGCCACCAAGCUGUGAGAGCUUCGUGAUGAACUAUAACAUAUCAAGGAUACAUACAAUGAUCCUUGAGCGAUUCGCGAUGUUUGACACUGCGAAAGUAGAAAUCAAGAAGGAGCAUCAAUAGUUGAUGGUUUGUAAAACCACUAAGUUUUAAGAAAGGCAAGGGCUAGAAGGGAUACUUCGUGAAACGGCAAAACAGUUGCUGCACUAAUGAAGAGACCCAAGAUUAAACCCAAACCCGAGACUGAGUGCUUCUGUAAUGAGGGGAACAGUCACUGAGGCGGAGCAACUCUAGAUACUUGGUAGAUAAGAAGGCUGGCAAAAGUCGAAAGAAGUGUAUUUGAUAUACAUGAUGUUGAUGUGUACUUUACUAGUACUCCUAGUAGCACGAGGGUAUUGGAUACCGGUUCGGUUGCUAAGUGAUUAGUGACGCGAAAUGAAAGCUACGGCAUAAACGGAGACUAGCUAAAGGCGAGGUGACGAUACGUGUUGGAAGUGUUUCCAAGAUUGAUAUGAUCAAACGUCGCACGCUCCCUCUACCAUCGGGAUUGGUGUUAAACCUAAAUAAUUGUUAUUUGGUGCUUGCGUUAAGCAUGAACAUGAUUGGAUCGUGUUUAUUGCAAUACGAUUAUUCAUUUAAAGAGAGUAAUGGUUACUCUAUUUUCUUGAAUAAUCACCUUCAAUGGUUUAUUGAAUCUCGAUCGUAGUGUUACACAUGUUCAUGAUAUUGGUGCCAAACGAUACGAGUUGAUGAUGAUAGUACCACUUACUUGUGGCAGUGCCGCUUGAGUCAUGUUAGUAUAAAUUGCAUGAAGAGGCUCCAUGCUGAUGGAUCUUUGUACUCACCUGAUUUCAAAUCACUACUGACAUGCGAAUCAUACCACAUGAGCAAGGCCUUGUUUUCAUUGAGAUGAAAUAAGAUAGUAACUUGUUGGAAGUGAUACAUUUUGAUGUAUGCAGUCCAAUGGGUACUGAAGCACGCAGUGGAUAUCAUUAUGUUCUUACUUCACUGACGAUUUGAGUAGAUACAGGAGUAUUUACUUAAUGAAUCACAAGUCUGAAAUGUUGAAAAGUUCAAAUCCGUUUCAGAGUGAAGUUCGUCGUAACAAGAGGAUAAACUGUCUACGAUAUGAUCAUAGAAAUGAAUAUCUGAGUUACGAGUUUUGGUACACAGUUAAGACAAUGUGGAAAUUGUUUCGCAGUUCAUGCCACCUGGAACAUCAUAGUGUGAUGAUGUGUCUGAACGUCAUAGCCACGCACUAUUUGGUAUGGUGCAUACUAUGAUAUCUUUUAUCGAAUUACCACUAUCGUUUAUGGGUUAUGCAUUAGAGACAACCGCACUCACUUUAAAUAGGGCACCGCGUAUUUCCGUUGAGAUGACACAGUAUAGACUGAGGUUUAGAGAAAUCUAAACUGUCGUUUCUUGAAAGUUUGGGGUUUCGACACUUAUGUGAAAAAGUUUCAGUCUGAUAAGCUCGAACCCAAAGCGGAUAAAUGCAUCUUCAUAGGAUAUCCAAAACAGUUGGGUACAUCUCCUAUCUCAGAUCCGAAAGCAAAGUGUUUGUUUCUAGAAACGGAUCCUUUCUCGAGGAAAGGUUUCUCUCGAAAGAAUUGAGUGGGAGGGUAGUAGAACUUGAUGAGGUUAUUGAACCAUCACUUCAACCAGUGUGUAGCAGGGCGCAUGAAGUUGUUCAUAUGAAGUGGAAACUGAUGAUGAUGAUCAUUGAGCUUCGAAUCAAGUUACUACAAACCUCGUAGGUGGACAAGGUCGCGUACUGCUACAGAGUGGUGCAUUAACCCUGUCUUGGAGGUCAUGUUGUUGAGCAACAGUGAACCUACGAGUUAUGGAGAAAGCGAUGGUGGGCCCAGAUUCCGACAAAUGGCUGGAAGCCAUGAAAUCCGAGAGAGGAUCCAUGUGUGAAAACAAAGUGUAGACUUUGGUAGAACUACUUGAUGGUCAUAGGACUAUUGAGUAAAAAUGGAUCUUUAAAAGAAGACAGACGAUGAUGGUGAUAAGUCACUAUUAAGAAAAGCUCGACUUGUCGCAAAGAUGUUUUCGACAAGAUCAAACAGUUGACUAUGAUGAGACUUUCUCACUCGUAGCGAUGCUAAAGGUCUGUUAGAAUUAUGUUAGUUGUUGAUGCAUUAUUUAUGAAAUGUUGCACGUAGGAUGUCAAAACAUUGUUUUCUCGACGGUUUCCUUGAGCAAACAUUGUAUGUGAUACAACCAGAAGGUUUUGUCGAUCCUAAAGAUACUAGCAAGUAUGCAAGCUCCAGUGAUCCUUCAAUGGACUGGUGCAAGCAUCUCGGAGUUGGAAUAUACACUUUGAUGAGAUGAUCAAAGAUUUUGGGUUUGUACAAGGUUUAUGAGAAACUUGUAUUUCCAAAGAAGUGAGUGGGAGCACUAUAGAAUUUCUGAUAGGUAUAUGUGGUUGACAUAUUGUGGAUCAGAAGUAAUGUAGAAUUUCUGUAAAGCAUACAAGGUUGUUUGAAAGAAGUUUUCAAAGGAGUACCUGGAUUACGCUACUUGAACGUUGAGCAUCAAAGAUCUAUGGAGAUAGAUCGAAAGCGCUUAAUAGAAGUUUCAACAAGAUGCAUGCCUUGACAAGUUUUUGAAGUAGUUCAAAAUAGAUCAGCAAAAAAAAAGGAGUUCUUAGUUGCGUUGUGAGGUGUGAAUUUGAGUAAGACUCAAAACCCGACCACGGCAGAAUAAAGAGAAUAGACGAAGGUCGUCUUCCAUGCCUUAGCCGUAGAAUCUAAAGUAUGCCAUGCUGUGUACCGCACCUGAUGUGUGCCUUGACUCAAAGUAUGUUGAGAGGUACAAAGAGUGAUCCAUGAUUGAAUCACUAGCAGCGGUCGAAAUUUAUCCUUAGUAACUAAUGGACUAAGGAAUUUUUCUCGAUUAUGGAGGUGGUUAAAGAGUUUGUCGUAAAGGGUUACGUCAAUGCAAACUUUGACACUAAUCCGAAUAACUAUGAGUAGUGAAACGGAUUCGUAUAGUAGAGUAGAUAUUUGGAGCAUUUCCGAAUAGCACGUAGUAGCAGCAUCUAUAAGAUGACAUAAAGAUUUGUAAAGAACGCACAGAUCUGAAAGUUUCAGAACCAUUGACUAAAACCUCUCUAACGAGCAAGACGUGAUCAGACCCCAUAACUAUAUGGGUGUUGGAUUCGUUGGAAUCACAUGGUGAUGUGAACUAGAUUAUUGACUCUAGUGCAAGUGGGAGACUGUUGGAAAUAUGCCCUAGAGGCAAUAAUAAAUUAGUUAUUAUUAUAUUUCUUAGUUCAUGAUAAUCGUUUAUUAUCCAUGCUAUAAUUGUAUUGAUUGGAAACACAAUACUUGUGUGGAUACAUAGACAAAACACUAUCCCUAGUAAGCCUCUAGUUGACUAGCUCGUUGAUCAAAGAUGGUCAAGGUUUCCUGGCCAUAGGCAAGUGUUGUCACUUGAUAACGGGAUCACAUCAUUAGGAGAAUCAUGUGAUGGACUAGACCCAAACUAAUAGACGUAGCAUGUUGAUCGUGUCAUUUUGUUGCUACUGUUUUCUGCGUGUCAAGUAUUUAUUCCUAUGACCAUGAGAUCAUAUAACUCACGGACACCGGAGGAAUGCUUUGUGUGUAUCAAACGUCGCAACGUAACUGGGUGACUAUAAAGAUGCUCUACAGGUAUCUCCGAAGGUGUUCGUUGAGUUAGUAUGGAUCAAGACUGGGAUUUGUCACUCCGUGUGANGAAAAAAUCAGGAGAUCAUCGAAAGUACUUUUCCGCCGCCGCAGGCUUCUGUCUGUGCAAGAUCCCAUCUCGGGCACGUUCUCGUGCCCUGCCGGAGGGGGGAUUCGGACACGGAGGGCUUCUACAUCAACGCCAUGACCUCUCUGAUGUUGCGUGAGUAGUUCACCAUAGACCUACGGGUCCAUAGCUAGUAAUUAGAUGGCUUCUUCUCUCUCUUGGAUCUUCAAUACAAAGUUCUCCAUGAUCUUCAUGGAGAUCUAUCCGAUGUAAUCUUCUUUUGCGGUGUGUUUGUUGAGAUUCGAUGAAUUGUGGAUUUAUGAUCAGAUUAUCUAUGAAUAUUAUUUGAGUUUCUUCUAAUCUCUCUUAUGCAUGAUUUCAUAUCCUUGUAUUUCUCUUCGAGUUGUAGGUUUUGUUUGGCCAACUAGAUCUACGAUUCUUGCAAUGGGAGAAGUGCUUGGUUUUGGGUUCAUACCGUGCGGUGACCUCACCCAGUGACAUAAGGGGUGGCGAGGCACACAUCGUGUUGUUGCCAUCAAGGGUAAAAAGAUGGGAUUUUCAUCAUUGGUUUGAGAUUAUCCCUCUACAUCAUGUCAUCUUGCUUAAAGCGUUACUCUGUUCGUCAUGAACUCAAUACACUAGAUGCAUGCUAGAUAGCGGUCGUUGUGUGGAGUAAUAGUAGUAGAUACAGAAAGUAUCGGUCUACUUGUCUCGGACGUGAUGCCUAUAUGUAUGAUCAUUGCCUUAGAUAUCGUCAUGACUUUGCGCGGUUCUAUCAAUUGCUCGACAGUCAUUUGUUCACCCACCGUAAUACUUGCUAUUUUGAGAGAAGCCUCUGGUGAACAUUAUGGGCCCCAGGAUCUACUCCACACCAUAUUUUCAGCCUUACACUUUUUACUUUGUUGCACUUUCCGCCUUCAGAUCUCACUUUGCAAACAAUCUUGAAGGGAUUGACAACCCCUUUGAAGUAUUGGGUGCAAGCUUGUUUGUGUUUGCGCAGGUACUCUGGACUUGAGAGACCCUCCUUCUGGAUUGAUACCUUGGUUCUCAAACUGAGGGAAAUACUUACUGCUCCUGUGCUGCAUCACCCUUUCCUCUUCAUGGGAAAAACCAACGCAAGCCCAGCCUCUGUCAACGUGUCAAUUUCUGGCGGUGUUGUUUGUGGGAUAGUAGAAGAAUUUCUGGCACCGUUGUCGGGGAGGAAGAUCAAGUCAAGAACUUAUCCAAGUAGGUGUCACAAACUCAUCUCUUGCAUUUACUUUGUUUGCGAGUUGCCUCUCGUUUUCCUCUCCCCCACUUCACCAAUUUGCCUUUUUCGUUCGCCUUUUCGUUCGCCCUUUUUCUCGCCUGCUCUUUGUUUGCCUGUGUGCUUGCUUGCCUGCUACAACCCGUAUGGCCCCACUAAGGGAUUUUGAUGCUCACCUUGCGAAGAUAGAAGAGAUUGAAACUAGUGUUAAAGGCUUCAUGUCUACACAGUUUGAAUAUAAUAGUUACUUCCAUAGAGAGCUGAAGGGGCAAAAUUCUUUUCUGGCUUUUAUGAGUAGAGAAGUUGAUGAUAUGGCCAAAGAAUUCCUUGCGCUAAAUUCUCAGUUUGCUCGUCUUGAAAAGCUAGUGGGCCAGAUUUCUGAUAAGCAAGCUACUUUAGUCAAUAAAAUGGCUGCUAAACCUGAAACUCGUGAUGAGAAUCACAAAUAUCUUAAAGUGCUUGGUGUGACUCCUAUUGAAUCUUUGUUUUCUUGCGCCAAACUAAUGAUUAUGGGGCUGGAUAUGAAUCCACUUUGGUUGAAAAGUGCCCCAAUGAUUCGGAGUCCGUCUAUCUUGAUGCUAAAAGCAUUAAAAGUGGAGUAUAAGAUGUUAAAACUUUGAGUAGUAAUGAAAUUGCUACUGUGGAUUUCAAGGAAUUCAAUUAUGAUAGUUGCUCCUUUAUUGAAUGCAUUUUUGAUGCAAUCCAUGUUAAACUCUCCACAUGCUUAUAGCCAAAACAAAGCCUUUACCGAUCAUAUCGUCGAAGCUAUGAUAAAAUCUCUUGAAGAGAAACUUGAAUUGGAAGUCUCUAUCCCUAGAAAGCUUCAUGAUGAGUGGGAACCUACCAUCAAAAUCAAAAUCAAAAACUAUGAGUGCAAUGCUUUGUGUGAUUUGGGUGCUAGUGUUUCUGCGAUUCCAAAGUCUUUAUGUGAUGUUCUGGGUUUUAAUGAGAUUGAAGAGUGUUCUCUUAAUUUGCAUCUUGCUGAUUCUACUUUCAAGAAACCCAUGGGAAGGAUCAAUGAUGUUCUUAUUAUUGCAAAUAGGAACUAUGUACCCAUGGAUUUCAUUGUGUUUGACAUUGAUUGCAAUCAUACAUGCCCCAUUAUUCUUGGUAGACCUUUCCUAAGGACUAUCGGUGCUAUCAUCGAUAUGAACGAAGGGAAUAUUAGAUUUCAAUUUCCUUUAAGGAAGGGCAUAGAACACUUUCCUAGAAAGAAAAUAAGAUUGCCUUAUGAAUCCAUGAUGAGGGCCACUUAUGGUUUGAGCACCAAAGACGACGAUACGUGAUUCUAUCGCUUCUAUGCCUAGCUAAGGGCGUUAAACAAUAGCGCUUGUUGGGAGGCAACCCAAUGAAUUUAUCUUUUUAUUUUUGUUUUCUUGUGUCCACACUUUCAUAAUUCUGUUGUGAUUGUGUUUCUUUUGUAUUUAUUUUCUGUUUGAGCCAAGCAAAGCCUUUAUGACUAGUCUUGGUAAUGGUUGUUUGAUCCUGCUGGAAAAAGAUAGAAACUUUUCGCUCACGAGAUGAUUUUUCAUUUUUAUUCGGAAAGAUCUUUUGAGCUGAUUCUUUUUGCUGCUGAUUGAUAUGCUUUUUUCCCAGACCAUCGUAAUUUUUCAGUUUUUUUGAGGUAUCAGAAGUAUACGAAGUAUACAGAUUGCUACAGACUGGUCAGUUUUUGACAGAUUCUGUUUUUGUUGAGUUGGUUGCUUGUUUUGAUGAAACUAUGGUUAGUAUAGGGGGGUACUAGCCAUGGAAAAGUGAGAAUACAGUAUGCUAUCAUCAAUAUAGAUGGAAUUCGAGUUUUCUACAGUACCAAAAGAAGUGGUAGUUUGUUUUCUUGUACUAAUGUUAUCACAAGUUUCUGUUUAAGUUUUGUGUUGUGAAGUUUUCAAGUUUUGGGUGAUUUUCUCAUGGACAAAGAGAUAAGGAGUGGAAAGAGCUCAAGCGUGGGGAUGCCCAAGGCAUCCCAAGCCAAAUUCAAGGACACCAAAAAUCCUAAGCUUGGGGAUGCCCUGGGAAGGCAUCCCCUCUUUCGUCUUCAAUCCAUUGGUAACAUUACUUGUAGCUAUAUUUUAUUCACCACAUGAUAUGUGUUUUGCUUGGAGCGUCUUGUAUCAUAGGAGUCUUUUCUUUUUGUUGUGUCACAAUCAUCCUUGCUGCACACCUUUUUGAGAGAGAGAGACAUGCACUCAUCGUGAUUUUGCUAGAAUGCUCAUAAUGCUUCACUUAUAUCUUUUGAGCUAGAUACUUUUGCUCUUAUGCUUCACAUAUAUCUUUAGAUCACGGUGGUGCGUGAUCUGGUAGUUGGCUUAUGCUAUGAAAGUAGUCCCAAAUAUGCUAGGUACACAAAGAGGAUGCAAAAACCUCCAUCUUCAUGUGCAUUGAGUAGAAAGAGAAGUUUCGAUUCCUCUCAAUUAGUUUUGAGACGUGGAUUCGGUAAUAUUGAGAGUUAUAUUAGUAGGGUGUUGUGAAUCUAGAAAUACUUGUGUUGAAGUUAGUGAUUCCCGUAGCAUGCACAUAUGGUGAACUCCUAUGUUAGGAAGUCGGAGCAUAAUCUAUACUACUAAUAAACAAGCGAACAUUUUCUUCUCUAAAGACACCCCACCUAAUGUACACACAACAACUUAAAGCAAUUAGAGCCUUAUGAUCAGAUCUACUCCCUCCGUUCCUAAAUAUAAGUCUUUGUAGAGAUUUCUCUAGUGGACUACAUACGAAUGUAUAUAGACAUACUUUAGAGUGUACAUUCAAUCAUUUUGCUCCGUAUGUAGACACAUAGUGAAAUCGCUUAAAAGACUUAUAUUNNNNNNNNNNNNNNNNNNNNNNNNNNNNNNNNNNNNNNNNNNNNNNNNNNNNNNNNNNNNNNNNNNNNNNNNNNNNNNNNNNNNNNNNNNNNNNNNNNNNNNNNNNNNNNNNNNNNNNNNNNNNNNNNNNNNNNNNNNAGGAACGGAGGGAGUAUUCAUUUUAAUCUAACCGUUAACAUAGCAACUAACCUCAUCGAAAGUACGUUUAGCACUUUUUAGAGGCGGACGAAAACUCUCUCAUCCGCCGAAUCCUUGCCGAAUUCUCACGAAAAGGAAAGCCCACAUCUCCCGUUAAAAAAAAGAGCCCACGCUUCGUCCUGUCCUGCCUCCAUCGUUCCCCACUCCCAUCCCUCCCUCCUCUCUCCUCCUCGCCGCCACCACAAGACGCCGCCUGAGUCCCUCUCCUCCCUCAAAUAGCGGCAGCGGCAGCGCGAGACGCAGCGGGCUCGGCCUUCUUCAGCGGUGUUGUUCUACUCCGGCCGCUCUAUCAUCCCUGCCGCCGCGCUCUCGCCCUUGCGCCACAGUGCACGCCGCUCCGUCUCCCGCUCCGACACGGCCGGGCCAGGAGCACCCGCCCCCGCUCGCAGCAUGUGGCCUUCCACCUCCAACGGCAAGAUCAAGAAUCCAUCGCCAUCGCCAUCGCCCUUGACCCCCGCGCCGUCCUCGGUACCCACCCUCGCCGACCACCUGACCAACGACGCCACAGACUGCGCGGACGCCGUUUCCGUGGCGCCGCCGUCGCUGUAGUCGCUCUCCCGCCAGCGCAGCUGCACUGAGCUCCCGCAAUUCGCCGACGCCGACGCCAAGGAGGGGAAGAUCGGCAGGUCGUCCGGGAAAAGCGCCGGCCACGCGUUCGGCCGCUCCAUGCGCUUCCUGCCGACGUCCAAGCCCGCGGCCGUCACGCUCACCCCGGGCUGCGUCGCGCCGUCGGACCUCCGCAGGCUCACAGCCGGCUACUCCCUGGACGCGCCCGUCGCCCGCACCUCUCGUGGACACCGCCGCCGCCGCCCUACCCAUGCCAUCCCCACUGCCCCACUGCUCCUCCUACNNNNNNNNNNNNNNNNNNNNNNNNNNNNNNNNNNNNNNNNNNNNNNNNNNNNNNNNNNNNNNNNNNNNNNNNNNNNNNNNNNNNNNNNNNNNNNNNNNNNNNNNNNNNNNNNNNNNNNNNNNNNNNNNCUACACGACUUCGCCACACACCUCUAGCCGUCGGCCGUGUAUCGCGGGACAUGGUCUGCCACUCCUCUACGGUCUCGCCUGAUAGCUCUGCCUCUCAGACAUGGGGCGGACGGAGGAGAGAUCGAUACAAGUCGCGAACGAUCUCAUGGAGUAGCUAGCUGGCUAGGCGGUGUCUACCUAGCCCCAGGAACACGUCGGCCUACAUCAAGGGGCAUGGGAGGCUUGACAUAAUCGUCUUCGUCUGCCAUGGAGACAAACAGAGUCGGAGCUUGCUGGGCGGCGGCUACAGCCUACAGGUUGAGAAUGAGCACUAAGAGAGAGGGGAAAGGAGGCAGGGAUAAUCACGAGGAGGUUCAUGUUGUCGGCAGGACCAGAGAAGGCAGGAGCACGAUGAAUCGACGACAGCGUCUUAUGGAUGGUGUCGGAGAAGAUGACGUUCGUGUGCUCUGUGCACGGCGUCACAACUAGGGUGCUAAACAGCGGGGCCAACCACGGCGUGCAGGCCGGAGCCAGGCAUAAUGCGUGCAUGAUGAUGUCGGCGUGUUGUGCAUUAGUGUUGGCCGGCAGAGGCGUGUGCAGCUGGCCAGCAUGUAUGAGGUGCGUGCAUGCGUCUUGCUUUGUUCAGGUACUGUCAAAUUUAGAAGAGGAAGAUAACUCGAGUUGUGCUGUCAAUUUCUGCAUGCACUGUUGAUGACUAUUGGUGAUUCAGAUUCAGCAUGGAUAGUGUUGUUUAGGACUGAAAUUUUAUCGUGGUUGAAUAAAUAGGCAUGCAUGGUUGAUUUUAGUUGCUAGAAGGAAGACCAUUGCUACAAAUUUUAUAAGUAGGAUGUCGUUUUUCACAGUUCUAUCAUGUUAUUUGUAUUGUAUAGUCAUAAUUCUAAGCUUAAUCUUGUUAGCUAUGUAGCAUUGCAGAUCAGGCUCUUUUUUCCUAGCAGAUCAAUACUUUUGGUCAGAUUUACCUUAGUUGAUAGUGAAUAUAGAAUACAUGGUGUGAAUAUAACAAAUAAUUAUGUGGUGGUGACCUAUCAAAACUAUUAAUAUGAAUUUUCCAGUUCCAGCUUUUACAAUUUUUAUUCUUUCCUUAGGAUCCACGGUUUGCUCUUCUAACACAUAAUACUAUAUAUGCACAUGCAGCCCCUUUCAGUUGAGCUAGAUCCUGGGUAUCCUUGAGAACAUUUUUUAUGGAAUCCAGGUAAGUUCAGCAUGAUAAUCAUUCCAUUUUGUUGAUUUACUCUUUUUCUGUGUUACUUGUCAUGACUUCGUUCUUGUUAAAUUUGCAACGCUCCCUAAAAACCAUUGCUAUUAUAUCUGAAGACGAUGCACUAUGCAAAUUUAAGCCAAAAAAGCUGGAUAAUGCAUUUGGCAUAUUUUAAUUGUGAAAGAGGGACAUCCUAUUAAUCUUUGGCAGGCCCUCCAAAACAUCUCCUUUAAUUAUUUGCUUCAACUGUUGGAGAUGUUCUCACCAGCACAGACCUAUAUGUUGUAAGUUCUUAUGAUGUUGAAUUUUCUUUUAUGGAUAUUUCUGUAUAAAAUGAUAGCAGCUUUGGGACUGUUCCCACGUGCUAAUGUUCGUUGACUCUAUGACAUACUGUCUUUGAGAACAAUUUGAUAAACCACAAUGUAUAUAGUGAAUAAGUAUUUUUACAAGAUAUAGUGAAUAAGUUGUGAAGUCAGUUUUUAUCUCUCAUAUCAUUAAUACUGUUUGAUACAAACAAAUGUUCGUUUGGAUGCAAUAUGUUCUGAAAACACCCUUGGCCAUUACUCAUUAGGUGUUGUCUCCAUUGCUAUUUUACUGUAUGGUGAAAUAAUUAUGGAUGUUUCUUGCAAAUACUUGGUCAUUAGGUGUCGUAGUUGUUAUUUAGUGUUUGGAAGUUACCAUGGAUACUAAAAUUAUCAUUAGGUGUUGUUUCCAUUCUUUAUUGAUCAUAUGAGGAAAUCCACCCGCCUUUUCUUAUUACUUAAAGUUUAUGAUGUUUUGGGCAUACCGAGCUUAAAGAAGAUAUUUCGCAAGUAAGUUUGUAUACUCUACAUACAUCUUGAUAUAUAUAUGAUAUAUUCACUGUUUUUAGGAUGGCACUGUGGACUUGGGCUUUUUGGAUAGGAAAAAGCCAAACCGACACCAUGUAUUCUUAUGAAUGUAUGAGUCAUCUCACUGUAGGCGGGGUGUGUUUCUCUUACGCAGAACUUACUUUAUUUUAUGCUUUGUCAGUGUAAUCUCCAAUUUCAUUCGCAUGUAUAUUAUUACUCUUUUCCUGGUCAUGCAGAUGCAUCAUGUCUAGCUUUUCAGCCUUGCAAAUUAGAGGUUUUGAUUGAUACAUGAAUAUUAUUGGAAUAUUUCGUGCAUUGAAAAUACUAUGGGUGGAAUUAACAAAGUGAAUGAAUGUAUGAAAGAAAUCAAGGAUUCUCUGUCAGCUUCUACUAAUUUCAACAAGGUAAUAUUUAAGAUUUAUUACAAUCAUGUAUUUAUUUUUUAUCCUAAUCACUUAUCGUCUAUACUAUUGCACACAAAAAAACUUGCAUGAUUAAAUGGGGGAGGAACUUCAAAAACUGGAGGGAGCAGUGUGUGUCUAUUAGAUUGAUUUGUAAAUCUUAAUGUCUACUUGCUCAUUUCAUAGGACUAAUUCACUGAUGCACGUUGAAUACUCUAACAUAUACAAGUGGAUUUUCACAUAUGAUUGUAAUAUUAGUCAAUACGUGCGUUGCACGUGCACGCUUACUAGUUGAUCUAUUGAUUGUCAUCCUUUGUGUUGAGGUCGGGAUCGCACAAUGGUUUACCCCUACCAACCCUUCCCCUCGGAGUAUGCAUUUAGCACUUUGUUUCGAUUACUAAUAAAAACUCUCGCAAUAAGUAUGUGAGUUCUUCAUGACUAAUGUGAGCCCAUGGUAUAGAAUCUGCUACGACGCUUUGCUUGGAACUGCACCAGCUUACUGCACCUCCAUUAAGAAUAAAUACGUAUCCGGUUUGCGACUUAGAGUCGUCCGGAUAUGUGUCAAAGCUUGCAUCGACGUAACCUUUUACGGCGAGCUCUUCGUCACCUCCAUACACGAGAAACAUCUCCUUAGUCCUUUUCAGGUACUCCAGGAUAUUCUUGACCGCUGUCCAGUGAUCCACUCCUGGAUUACUCUGGAACCUACCUGCCAUACUUAUGGCCAGGCUAACAUCCGGUCUAGUGCACAACAUCGCAUACAUGAUAGAACCUAUGGCUGAAGCAUAGGGGACGGAGCACAUAUGCUCUCUAUCUUCAUCAGUUGCUGGGCACUGAGUCUUACUCAAUCUUGUACCUUGUAAAACUGGCAAGAACCCUUUCUUGGACUGUUCCAUUUUGAACCUUUUCAAAACUUUAUCAAGGUAUGUGCUUUGUGAAAGUCCUAUCAGGCGUUUUGAUCUAUCCCUAUAGAUCUUAAUGCCUAGAAUGUAAGCAGCUUCUCCUAGGUCCUUCAUAGAGAAACUUUUAUUCAAGUAACCUUUUAUGCUCUCCAAAAGCUCUACGUUGUUUCCAAUCAGUAAUAUGUCAUCCACAUAUAAUAUUAGAAACGCCACAGAGCUCCCACUCACUUUCUUGUAAAUACAGGAUUCUCCAACCACUUGUAUAAACCCAAAUGCUUUGAUCACCUCAUCAAAGCGUUUGUUCCAACUCCGAGAUGCUUGCACCAGUCCAUAAAUGGAUCGCUGGAGCUUGCAUACCUUGUCAGCAUUUUUAGGAUCGACAAAACCUUCGGGUUGCAUCAUAUACAACUCUUCCUUAAGGAAACCGUUAAGGAACGCCGUUUUGACAUCCAUCUGCCAGAUUUCAUAAUCGAAAAAUGCAGCUAUUGCUAACAUGAUUCUGACGGACUUAAGCAUCGCUACGGGUGAGAAAGUCUCAUCGUAGUCAACUCCUGGAACUUGUGAAAAACCCUUUGCCACAAGUCGAGCUUUAUAAACGGUCACAUUACCGUCAGCGUCCGUCUUCUUCUUAAAGAUCCAUUUGUUCUGAAUAGCCUUGCUGCCCUCAGGUAGUAUCUCCAAAGUCCACACUUUGUUCUCAUACAUGGAUCCUAUCUCGGAUUUCAUGGCUUCUAGCCAUUUGUUGGAAUCUGGGCCCACCAUUGCUUCUUCAUAAUUUGCAGGUUCAUUGUUGUCUAACAACAUGAUUGAUAAGACGGGAUUACCGUACCACUCUGGAGCAGCGCGUGAUCUCGUCGACCUGCGUGGUUCAACAGAAACUUGAACUGGAGUUUCAUGAUCAUCAUCAUUAACUUCCUCCUCAACCGGCGUCGCAACGACAGAGGUUUCCCCUUGCCCUGCGCCACCAUCCACAGGGAUGAGAGGUUCGACAACCUCGUCAAGUUCUAUCUUCCUCCCACUCAAUUCUCUCGAGAGAAACUCCUUUUCGAGAAAAGCUCCGUUUUUAGCAACAAACACUUUGCCCUCGGAUUUGUGAUAGAAGGUGUACCCAACUGUUUCUUUUGGGUAACCUAUGAAGACGCACUUUUCCGCUUUGGGUUCCAGCUUUUCAGGCUGAAGCUUUUUGACAUAAGCAUCACAUCCCCAAACUUUAAGAAACGACAACUUUGGCCUUUUGCCAUACCACAGUUCGUAUGGUGUCGUCUCAACGGAUUUUGAUGGUGCCCUAUUUAAAGUGAAUGCAGCUGUUUCUAAUGCAUAACCCCAAAAUGAUAACGGCAAAUCAGUAAGAGACAUCAUAGAUCGCACCAUCUCUAACAAAGUACGAUUACGACGUUCGGACACACAAUUACGCUGUGGUGUUCCAGGCGGUGUUAACUGUGAAACAAUUCCACAUUGUCUUAAGUGAGCACCAAACUCGAAACUCAGAUAUUCACCCCCACGAUCAGACCGUAGGAACUUGAUCUUCUUGUUACGAUGAUUUUCCACUUCACUCUGAAAUUGCUUGAACUUUUCAAAUGUUUCAGACUUGUGCUUCAUCAAGUAGACAUAACCAUAUCUACUUAAAUCGUCAGUGAAGGUGAGAAAAUAACGAUAUCCGCCGCGUGCCUCUACGCUCAUUGGACCACACACAUCGGUAUGUAUGAUUUCCAACAAGUCACUUGCACGCUCCAUUGUUCCGGAGAACGGAGUCUUAGUCAUCUUGCCCAUGAGGCAUGGUUCGCACGUGUCAAGUGAAUCAAAGUCAAGUGACUCGAAAAGUCCAUCAGCAUGGAGUUUCUUCAUGCGCUUUACACCAAUAUGACCCAAGCGGCAGUGCCACAAAAAUAUGGCGCUAUCAUUGUUUACUCUAAUUCUUUUGGUCUCAAUGUUAUGUAUAUGCGUAUCGCUAUCAAGAUUCAAUAUGAACAAUCCUCUCACAUUCGGUGCAUGACCAUAAAAGAUGUUACUCAUAGAAAUAGAACAACCAUUAUUCUCAGACUUAAAAGAGUAACCGUCUCGCAAUAAAAAAGAUCCAGAUAUAAUGUUCAUGCUCAACGCAGGCACUAAAUAACAAUGAUUUAAGUUCAUCACUAAUCCCGAUGGUAGCUGAAGUGACACUGUGCCGACGGCGAUUGCAUCAACCUUGGAACCAUUUCCUACGCGCAUCGUCACUUCGUCUUUCGCCAGCCUUCGUCUAUUCCGUAGUUCCUGCUUCGAGUUGCAAAUGUGAGCAACAAAACCGGUAUCGAAUACCCAGGCACUACUACGAGAGCCGGUUAAGUACACAUCAAUAACAUGUAUAUCAAAUAUACUUGAUUUUCCUUUGCCCGCCUUCUUAUCUGCCAGAUACUUGGGGCAAUUGCGCUUCCAGUGACCCAUACCCUUGCAAUAGUAACACUCCGUUUCAGGCUUAGGUCCAGCUUUGGGUUUCUUCGGCAGAUUGGCAACAUGCUUGCCGCUCUUCUUCAAAUUGCCCUUCUUGCCUUUGCCGUUUCUCUUGAAACUAGUGGUCUUGCUCACCAUCAACACUUGAUGCUCUUUACAGAGUUCAGACUCUGCGACUUUCAGCAUCGCAAACAACUCGCCGGGAGACUUGUUCAUCCCUUGCAUGUUGUAGUUCAACACAAAGCCUUUAUAGCUUGGCGGCAGUGAUUGAAGGAUUCUGUCAGUGAUAGCUUCUUGCGGGAGUUCAAUCCCCAGCUCAGCUAGACGGUUUGAGUACCCAGACAUUUUGAGCACCUGUUCACUGACAGAUGAGUUUUCCUCCAUCUUGCAAGCAUAGAAUUUAUCGGAGGUCUCAUACCUCUCGAUCCGAGCGUUCUUCUGAAAGAUAAACUCCAACUCCUGGAACAUCUCAAAUACUCCAUGACGCUCAAAGCGACGUUGAAGUCCCGGUUCUAAGCCAUACAAGACUGCACAUUGAACUAUUGAGUAGUCCUCCUUACGUGCUAACCAAGCGUUCUUAACAUCCUGAUCAGCCGUAGCGGGUGGUUAAUCUCCUAGCGCAGCAUUAAGGACAUAAUCCUUCUUCCCAGCUUGUAAGAUUAGCUUAAGAUUACGAGCCCAGUCUACAAACUUGCUUCCAUCAUCUUUCAACUUAGCUUUCUCUAGGAACGUAUUAAAAUUCAGGAUGACUGUCGCGUGAGCCAUGAUCUACAACACAAAUAUAUUCAAAGUGGACUUAGACUAUGUUCAAGAUAAUUAGAGUUCAACUUAAUCAAAUUAUAUGCUAAACUCCCACUCAAAAAGUACAUCUCUCUAGUCAUUUGAGUAGUUCAUGAUCCACUUACACUAUCCCAAGUCCGAUCAUCACGUGAGUUGAGUAUAGUUUCAGUGGUAAGCAUCCCUAUGCUAAUCAUAUCAACUAUAUGAUUCAUGAUCGACCUUUCGGUCUCAUGUGUUCCGAGGCCAUGUCCGCACAUGCUAGGCUCGUCAAGCUUAACCCGAGUNGCAUGGGAAACAAAAAAUUUCCUACGCGCACGAAGACCUAUCAUGGUGAUGUCCAUCUACGAGAGGGGAUGAGUGAUCUACGUACCCUUGUAGAUCGUACAGCAGAAGCGUUAGUGAACGCGGUUGAUGUAGUGGAACGUCCUCACGUCCCUCGAUCCGCCCCGCGAACAAUCCCGUGAUCAGUCCCACGAUCUAGUACCGAACGGACGGCACCUCCGCGUUCAGCACACGUACAGCUCGACGAUGAUCUCAGCCUUCUUGAUCCAGCAAGAGAGACGGAGAGGUAGAAGAGUUCUCCGGCAGCGUUACGGUGCUCCGGAGGUUGGUGAUGAUCUCGUCUCGGCAGGGCUCCGCCCGAGCUCCGCAGAAACGCGAUCUAGAGGUAAAACCGUGGAGAUAUGUGGUCGGGCUGCCGUGGAAAAAGUUGUCUCAAAUCAGCCCUAAUACCUCAGUAUAUAUAGGAGGGAGGGGGAGGGAAGAGGCAGCCUCAAACCCUCAAGGUUUGGCCGAAAUUGGAGGUGGAGGAGUCCUACUCCAAUCCUACUUGGAGUAGGAUUCCACCUUCCCACUUGGAAACUCUUUCCACCUUGUGUUUUUUUCCUUCUCAAACCUUAUGGGCCUUAGUGGGAACUUAUUCCAUCCCACUAGGGGCUGGUUUAUCUCUUCCCAUAGCCCAUGAGACCCCUUGGGGCGUGACACCCCUCCCAAUGGUCCCCGGCACCCCUCCCAGCACUCCCGGUACACUACCGAUGAACCCAAAACUUUUCCGGUGACCAAAACAGGACUUCCUAUAUAUCAAUCUUUACCUCCGGACCAUUCCGGAGACUCCUCGUGACGUCCGUGGAUCUCAUCCGGGACUCCGAACAACAUUCGGUAACCAACCAUAUAACUCAAAUACGCAUAAAACAACGUCGAACCUUAAGUGUGCAGACCCUGCGGGUUCGAGAACUAUGUAGACAUGACCCGAGAGACUCCUCGGUCAAUAUCCAAUAGCGGGACCUGGAUGCCCAUAUUGGAUCCUACAUAUUCUACGAAGAUCUUAUCGUUUGAACCUCAGUGCCAAGGAUUCAUAUAAUUCCGUAUGUCAUUCCCUUUGUCCUUCGGUAUGUUACUUGCCCGAGAUUCGAUCGUCAGUAUCCGCAUACCUAUUUCAAUCUCGUUUACCGGCAAGUCUCUUUACUCGUUCCGUAAUACAAGAUCCCGCAACUUACACUAAGUUACAUUGCUUGCAAGGCUUGUGUGUGAUGUUGUAUUACCGAGUGGGCCCCCGAGAUACCUCUCCGUCACACGGAGUGACUAAUCCCAGUCUUGAUCCAUACUAACUCAACUAACACCUUCGGAGAUACCUAUAGAGCAUCUUUAUAGUCACCCAGUUACGUUGCGACGUUUGAUACACACAAAGCAUUCCUCCGGUGCCAGUGAGUUAUAUGAUCUCAUGGUCAUAGGAAUAAAUACUUGACACGCAGNNNNNNNNNNNNNNNNNNNNNNNNNNNNNNNNNNNNNNNNNNNNNNNNNNNNNNNNNNNNNNNNNNNNNNNNNNNNNNNNNNNNNNNNNNNNNNNNNNNNNNNNNNNNNNNNNNNNNNNNNNNNNNNNNNNNNNNNNNNNNNNNNNNNNNNNNNNNNNNNNNNNNNNNNNNNNNNNNNNNNNNNUGGGUCUAGUCCAUCACGUGAUUCUCCCAAUGACGUGAUCCAGUUAUCAAGCAACAACACCUUGUUCAUAAUCAGAAGACACUGACUAUCAUUGAUCAACUGGCUAGCCAACUAGAGGCAUGCUAGGGACGGUGUUUUGUCUAUGUAUCCACACAUGUAAAUGAGUCUUCAUUCAAUACAAUUAUAGCAUGGAUAAUAAACUAUUAUCUUGAUACAGGAAUUAUAAUAAUAACUAUAAAUUUAUUAUUGCCUCUAGGGCAUAAUUCCAAUAGCAUUUUCUAUGGAGUCAUCAUUAUUGUGAUCUUUGAGAUGUGAGUAAAUAAAAGUGUGAUGAUCAUCAUUAUUAGAGCAUUGUCGCAUGUGAGGAAAUAAAAAAAAGAGGCCAAAGAGCCCAAAAACAAAAAAAGGGGCGAAAAGAAAAGAAAAGAAAAAAAGAGGCCUAAGAGCCCAAAUGAAAAAAAGAGAGAAAAAGAGAGAAGGGACAAUGCUACUAUCUUUUUCCACACUUGUGAUUCACGUUAGCACCAUGUUCUUCAUGAUUGAGAGCUUCUUGCUUUGUCACUACCUUAUGCUAGUGGGAAUCUUCAUUUUAUAACUUGGCUUGUAUAUUCCAAUGAUGGGCUUCCUCAAAAUUGCCCAAGGUCUUCAUGAGCAAGCAAGUUGGAUGCACACCCACUAGUUUUCCUUUUGAGCUUUCACAUACUUAUAGCUCUAGUGCAUCCUUUGUAUGGCAAUCCCUACUCAUUCACAUUGAUAUCUAUUAAUGGGCAUUUCCAUAGCCUAUUGAUACGCCGAGUCAGUGUGACCAUCUCCUCCUUUUUGUCUCACAACCACCACCACACUCUAUUCCACCUAUAGUGCUAUAUCCAUGGCUCGCGCACAUGUAUUGUGUGAUAGCUAUAAAAAGUUUGAGAAAGUAAGAGUGUGAAAACAAUUACUUGGCCAAUUCCGGGGUUGUGCAUGAUUUAUAUUAGUUGUAUGAGGAUGAUGGAGCAUAGCCAGACUAUAUGAUUUCGUAGGGAUAACUUUCUUUGGCCUUGUUAUUUUGAAAGUUCAUGAUUACUUUGCUAGUUUGCUUGAAGUAUUACUGUUUUCAUGUCAAUAGCAAACUAUUGUUUUGAAUCUUAUGGAUCUGAACAUUCAUGUCACGUGAAAGAAGUUGCAAAGGACAACUUUGCUAGGUAGCAUUCCACAUCAGAAAUUCAUUCUUUAUCACUUCUCUACUCGAGGACGAGCAGGAGUUAAGCUUGGGGAUGCUUGAUACGUCUCCAACGUAUCAAUAAUUUUUGAUGGUUUCAUGCUAUUAUCUUGUCAAACUUUGGAUGUUUUGCUUGCCUUUUAUAUAUUUUUGGGACUAACUUAUUAACUCAGUGCCAAGUGCCAGUUCCUGUUUUUUCCAUGUUUUUGACCCCUUUCAGAGAAGAUUUUGAAACGGAGUCCAAACGGAAGAAAAUCCCAGAAAAUAUUUUUUUUGGAACGGAAGAAGAUCGGGGAGCUUGGGAGCCAAGGCAGGGGAGCCCGAGGGGCCCCACAAGCCCCAACCCCGCGGCCAGGGGGGCGCCAUCCAGGCUUGUGGGCCCCCUGGACGCCCUUUGCCCUAGGACUUUCGCCUAUAUAUUCCCAUAAAUUCCAGAAAAAAUCAGGAGAUCNNNNNNNNNNNNNNNNNNNNNNNNNNNNNNNNNNNNNNNNNNNNNNNNNNNNNNNNNNNNNNNNNNNNNNNNNNNNNNNNNNNNNNNNNNNNNNNNNNNNCUCGUAGAUGGACAUCACCAUGAUAGGUCUUCGUGCGCGUAGGAAAGUUUUUGUUUCCCAUGCGAUGUUCCCCAACAGUGGCAUCAUGAGCUAGGUUCAUGCGUAGAUGUCUUCUCGAGUAGAACACAAAAGUUUUUGUGGGCGGUGAUGUGCGUUUUGCUGCCCUCCUUAGUCUUUUCUUGAUUCCGCGGUAUUGUUGGAUUGAAGCGGCUUGGACCGACAUUACUCGUACGCUUACGAGAGACUGGUUUCAUCGUUACGAGUAACCCCCUUUGCUCAAAGAUGACUCGCAAGUGACGGUUUCUCCAACUUUAGUUGAAUCGGAAUUGACCGAGGAGGUCCUUGGAUGAGGUUAAAUAGCAACUCAUAUAUCUCCGUUGUGGUGUUUGCGUAAGUAAGAUGCGAUCCUACUAGAUACCCAUGGUCACCACGUAAAACAUGCAACAACAAAAUUAGACGACGUCUAACUUGUUUUUGCAGGGUAUGCUUGUGAUGUGAUAUGGCCAACGAUGUGAUGUGAUAUAUUGGAUGUAUGAGAUGAUCAUGUUGUAAUAGAAAUAUCGACUUGCACGUCGAUGGUACGGCAACCGGCAGGAGCCAUAGGGUUGUCUUUAUACUAACGUUUGUGCUUGCAGAUGCGUUUACUAUUUUGCUAGGAUGUAGCUUUAGUAGUAAUAGCAUAAGUAGCACGACAACCCCGAUGGCAACACGUUGAUGGAUGAUCAUGGUGUAGCGCCGGUGACAAGAAGAUCGUGCCGGUGCUUUGGUGAUGGAGAUCAAGAAGCACGUGAUGAUGGCCAUAUCAUGUCACUUAUGAAUUGCAUGUGAUGUUAAUCCUUUUAUGCACCUUAUUUUGCUUAGAACGACGGUAGCAUUAUGAGGUGAUCUCUCACUAAAAUUUCAAGACGAAAUUGUGUUCUCCCCGACUGUGCACCGUUGCUACAGUUCGUCGUUUCGAGACACCACGUGAUGAUCGGGUGUGAUAGACUCAACGUUCACAUACAACGGGUGCAAAACAGUUGCGCACGCGGAACACUCGGGUUAAGCUUGANNNNNNNNNNNNNNNNNNNNNNNNNNNNNNNNNNNNNNNNNNNNNNNNNNNNNNNNNNNNNNNNNNNNNNNNNNNNNNNNNNNNNNNNNNNNNNNNNNNNCGCAUGGGAAACAAAAAUUUUCCUACGCGCACGAAGACCUAUCAUGGUGAUGUCCAUCUACGAGAGGGGAUGAGUGAUCUACGUACCCUUGUAGACCGUACAGCAGAAGCGUUAGAGAACGCGGUUGAUGUAGUGGAACGUCCUCACGUCCCUCGAUCCGCCCCGCGAACAAUCCCGCGAUCAGUCCCACGAUCUAGUACCGAACGGACGGCACCUCCGCGUUCAGCACACGUACAGCUCGACGAUGAUCUCGGCCUUCUUGAUCCAGCAAGAGAGACGGAGAGGUAGAAGAGUUCUCCGGCAGCGUGAUGGUGCUCCGGAGGUUGGCGAUGACCUUGUCUCAGCAGGGCUCCGCCCGAGCUCCGCAGAAACGCGAUCUAGAGGAAAAACCGUGGAGGUAUGUGGUCGGGCUGCCGUGGAAAAGUCGUCUCAAAUCAGCCCUAAAACCUCCGUAUAUAUAGGUGGGAGGGAGGGGGCCUUGCCUUGGGGUCCAAGUACCCUCAAGGGGGUCGGCCGAGCCAAGGGGGAGGACUCUCCCCCCCAAACCGAGUUGGACUAGGUUUGGUGGGAGGGAGUCCCCCUCCCUUCCCACCUCCUCCCUUUUUUUUCUUUUUCCUUUGAUUUCUUAUCCUUGGCGCAUAGACCACUUGUGGGCUGUCCCACCAGCCCACUAAGGGCUGGUGUGUCUCCCCAAAGGCCUAUGGGCUUCCNNNNNNNNNNNNNNNNNNNNNNNNNNNNNNNNNNNNNNNNNNNNNNNNNNNNNNNNNNNNNNNNNNNNNNNNNNNNNNNNNNNNNNNNNNNNNNNNNNNNACGACUUCGCCACACACCUCUAGCCGUCGGCCGUGUAUCGCGGGACAUGGUCUGCCACUCCUCUACGGUCUCGCCUGAUAGCUCUGCCUCUCAGACAUGGGGCGGACGGAGGAGAGAUCGAUACAAGUCGCGAACGAUCUCAUGGAGUAGCUAGCUGGCUAGGCGGUGUCUACCUAGCCCCAGGAACACGUCGGCCUACAUCAAGGGGCAUGGGAGGCUUGACAUAAUCGUCUUCGUCUGCCAUGGAGACAAACAGAGUCGGAGCUUGCUGGGCGGCGGCUACAGCCUACAGGUUGAGAAUGAGCACUAAGAGAGAGGGGAAAGGAGGCAGGGAUAAUCACGAGGAGGUUCAUGUUGUCGGCAGGACCAGAGAAGGCAGGAGCACGAUGAAUCGACGACAGCGUCUUAUGGAUGGUGUCGGAGAAGAUGACGUUCGUGUGCUCUGUGCACGGCGUCACAACUAGGGUGCUAAACAGCGGGGCCAACCACGGCGUGCAGGCCGGAGCCAGGCAUAAUGCGUGCAUGAUGAUGUCGGCGUGUUGUGCAUUAGUGUUGGCCGGCAGAGGCGUGUGCAGCUGGCCAGCAUGUAUGAGGUGCGUGCAUGCGUCUUGCUUUGUUCAGGUACUGUCAAAUUUAGAAGAGGAAGAUAACUCGAGUUGUGCUGUCAAUUUCUGCAUGCACUGUUGAUGACUAUUGGUGAUUCAGAUUCAGCAUGGAUAGUGUUGUUUAGGACUGAAAUUUUAUCGUGGUUGAAUAAAUAGGCAUGCAUGGUUGAUUUUAGUUGCUAGAAGGAAGACCAUUGCUACAAAUUUUAUAAGUAGGAUGUCGUUUUUCACAGUUCUAUCAUGUUAUUUGUAUUGUAUAGUCAUAAUUCUAAGCUUAAUCUUGUUAGCUAUGUAGCAUUGCAGAUCAGGCUCUUUUUUCCUAGCAGAUCAAUACUUUUGGUCAGAUUUACCUUAGUUGAUAGUGAAUAUAGAAUACAUGGUGUGAAUAUAACAAAUAAUUAUGUGGUGGUGACCUAUCAAAACUAUUAAUAUGAAUUUUCCAGUUCCAGCUUUUACAAUUUUUAUUCUUUCCUUAGGAUCCACGGUUUGCUCUUCUAACACAUAAUACUAUAUAUGCACAUGCAGCCCCUUUCAGUUGAGCUAGAUCCUGGGUAUCCUUGAGAACAUUUUUUAUGGAAUCCAGGUAAGUUCAGCAUGAUAAUCAUUCCAUUUUGUUGAUUUACUCUUUUUCUGUGUUACUUGUCAUGACUUCGUUCUUGUUAAAUUUGCAACGCUCCCUAAAAACCAUUGCUAUUAUAUCUGAAGACGAUGCACUAUGCAAAUUUAAGCCAAAAAAGCUGGAUAAUGCAUUUGGCAUAUUUUAAUUGUGAAAGAGGGACAUCCUAUUAAUCUUUGGCAGGCCCUCCAAAACAUCUCCUUUAAUUAUUUGCUUCAACUGUUGGAGAUGUUCUCACCAGCACAGACCUAUAUGUUGUAAGUUCUUAUGAUGUUGAAUUUUCUUUUAUGGAUAUUUCUGUAUAAAAUGAUAGCAGCUUUGGGACUGUUCCCACGUGCUAAUGUUCGUUGACUCUAUGACAUACUGUCUUUGAGAACAAUUUGAUAAACCACAAUGUAUAUAGUGAAUAAGUAUUUUUACAAGAUAUAGUGAAUAAGUUGUGAAGUCAGUUUUUAUCUCUCAUAUCAUUAAUACUGUUUGAUACAAACAAAUGUUCGUUUGGAUGCAAUAUGUUCUGAAAACACCCUUGGCCAUUACUCAUUAGGUGUUGUCUCCAUUGCUAUUUUACUGUAUGGUGAAAUAAUUAUGGAUGUUUCUUGCAAAUACUUGGUCAUUAGGUGUCGUAGUUGUUAUUUAGUGUUUGGAAGUUACCAUGGAUACUAAAAUUAUCAUUAGGUGUUGUUUCCAUUCUUUAUUGAUCAUAUGAGGAAAUCCACCCGCCUUUUCUUAUUACUUAAAGUUUAUGAUGUUUUGGGCAUACCGAGCUUAAAGAAGAUAUUUCGCAAGUAAGUUUGUAUACUCUACAUACAUCUUGAUAUAUAUAUGAUAUAUUCACUGUUUUUAGGAUGGCACUGUGGACUUGGGCUUUUUGGAUAGGAAAAAGCCAAACCGACACCAUGUAUUCUUAUGAAUGUAUGAGUCAUCUCACUGUAGGCGGGGUGUGUUUCUCUUACGCAGAACUUACUUUAUUUUAUGCUUUGUCAGUGUAAUCUCCAAUUUCAUUCGCAUGUAUAUUAUUACUCUUUUCCUGGUCAUGCAGAUGCAUCAUGUCUAGCUUUUCAGCCUUGCAAAUUAGAGGUUUUGAUUGAUACAUGAAUAUUAUUGGAAUAUUUCGUGCAUUGAAAAUACUAUGGGUGGAAUUAACAAAGUGAAUGAAUGUAUGAAAGAAAUCAAGGAUUCUCUGUCAGCUUCUACUAAUUUCAACAAGGUAAUAUUUAAGAUUUAUUACAAUCAUGUAUUUAUUUUUUAUCCUAAUCACUUAUCGUCUAUACUAUUGCACACAAAAAAACUUGCAUGAUUAAAUGGGGGAGGAACUUCAAAAACUGGAGGGAGCAGUGUGUGUCUAUUAGAUUGAUUUGUAAAUCUUAAUGUCUACUUGCUCAUUUCAUAGGACUAAUUCACUGAUGCACGUUGAAUACUCUAACAUAUACAAGUGGAUUUUCACAUAUGAUUGUAAUAUUAGUCAAUACGUGCGUUGCACGUGCACGCUUACUAGUUGAUCUAUUGAUUGUCAUCCUUUGUGUUGAGGUCGGGAUCGCACAAUGGUUUACCCCUACCAACCCUUCCCCUCGGAGUAUGCAUUUAGCACUUUGUUUCGAUUACUAAUAAAAACUCUCGCAAUAAGUAUGUGAGUUCUUCAUGACUAAUGUGAGCCCAUGGUAUAGAAUCUGCUACGACGCUUUGCUUGGAACUGCACCAGCUUACUGCACCUCCAUUAAGAAUAAAUACGUAUCCGGUUUGCGACUUAGAGUCGUCCGGAUAUGUGUCAAAGCUUGCAUCGACGUAACCUUUUACGGCGAGCUCUUCGUCACCUCCAUACACGAGAAACAUCUCCUUAGUCCUUUUCAGGUACUCCAGGAUAUUCUUGACCGCUGUCCAGUGAUCCACUCCUGGAUUACUCUGGAACCUACCUGCCAUACUUAUGUCCAGGCUAACAUCCGGUCUAGUGCACAUCAUCGCAUACAUGAUAGAACCUAUGGCUGAAGCAUAGGGGACGGAGCGCAUAUGCUCUCUAUCUUCAUCAGUUGCUGGGCACUGAGUCUUACUCAAUCUCGUAUCUUGUAAAACUGGCAAGAACCCUUUCUUGGACUGUUCCAUUUUGAACCUCUUCAAAACUUUAUCAAGGUAUGUGCUUUGUGAAAGUCCUAUCAGGCGUUUUGAUCUAUCCCUAUAGAUCUUAAUGCCUAGAAUGUAAGCAGCUUCUCCUAGGUCCUUCAUAGAGAAACUUUUAUUCAAGUAACCUUUUAUGCUCUCCAAAAACUCUACGUUGUUUCCAAUCAGUAAUAUGUCAUCCACAUAUAAUAUUAGAAACGCCACAGAGCUCCCACUCACUUUCUUGUAAAUACAAGAUUAUCCAACUAGUAUAAACCCAAAUGCUUUGAUCACCUCAUCAAAGCAUUUGUUCCAACUCCGAGAUGCUUGCACCAGUCCAUAAAUGGAUCGCUGGAGCUUGCACACUUUGUUAGCAUUCUUAGGAUCGACAAAACCUUCGGGUUGUAUCAUAUACAACUCUUCCUUAAGGAAACCGUUAAGGAACGCUGUUUUGACAUCCAUCUGCCAGAUUUCAUAAUCGAAAAAUGCAGCUAUUGCUAACAUGAUUCUGACGGACUUAAGCAUCGCUACGGGUGAGAAAGUCUGAUCGUAGUCAACUCCUGGAACUUGUGAAAAACCCUUUGCCACAAGUCGAGCUUUAUAAACGGUCACAUUGCCGUCAGCGUCCGUCUUCUUCUUAAAGAUCCAUUUGUUCUGAAUAGCCUUGCGGCCCUCAGGUAGUAUCUCCAAAGUCCACACUUUGUUCUCAUACAUGGAUCCUAUCUCGGACUUCAUGGCUUCUAGCCAUUUGUUGGAAUCUGGGCCCACCAUUGCUUCUUCAUAAUUUGCAGGUUCAUUAUUGUCUAACAACAUGAUUGAUAAGACGGGAUUACCGUACCACUCUGGAGCAGCACGUGAUCUCGUCGACCUGCGUGGUUCAAUAGAAACUUGAACUGGAGUUUCAUGAUCAUCAUCAUUAACUUCCUCCUCAACCGGCGUCGCAACGACAGAGGUUUCCCCUUGCCCUGCGCCACCAUCCACAGGGAUGAGAGGUUCGACAACCUCGUCAAGUUCUAUCUUCCUCCCACUCAAUUCUCUCGAGAGAAACUCCUUUUCGAGAAAAGCUCCGUUUUUAGCAACAAACACUUUGCCCUCGGAUUUGUGAUAGAAGGUGUACCCAACUGUUUCUUUUGGGUAACCUAUGAAGACGCACUUUUCCGCUUUGGGUUCCAGCNNNNNNNNNNAUCGCAACGACAGAGGUUUCCCCUUGCCCCACGCCACCAUCCAGAGGGAUGAGAGGUUCGACAACCUCGUCAAGUUCUAUCUUCCUCCCACUCAAUUCUCUUGAGAGAAACUCCUUCUCGAGAAAAGCUCCGUUCUUUGCAACAAAUACUUUGCCCUCGGAUUUGAGAUAGAAGGUGUACCCAACUGUCUCUUUUGGGUAACCUAUGAAGACGCACUUUUCCGCUUUGGGUUCCAGCUUUUCAGGCUGAAGCUUUUUGACAUAAGCAUCACAUCCCCAAACUUUAAGAAACGACAACUUUGGCCUUUUGCCAUACCACAGUUCGUAUGGUGUCGUCUCAACGGAUUUUGAUGGUGCCCUAUUUAAAGUGAAUGCAGCUGUUUCUAAUGCAUAACCCCAAAAUGAUAACGGCAAAUCAGUANNNNNNNNNNNNNNNNNNNNNNNNNNNNNNNNNNNNNNNNNNNNNNNNNNNNNNNNNNNNNNNNNNNNNNNNNNNNNNNNNNNNNNNNNNNNNNNNNNNNCGGGAUUGGUGUUAAACCUAAAUAAUUGUUAUUUGGUGCUUGCGUUAAGCAUGAACAUGAUUGGAUCGUGUUUAUUGCAAUACGAUUAUUCAUUUAAAGAGAAUAAUGGUUACUCUAUUUUCUUGAAUAAUCACCUUCAAUGGUUUAUUGAAUCUCGAUCGUAGUGUUACACAUGUUCAUAAUAUUGGUGCCAAAAGGAUACAAGUUAAUGAUGAUAGUACCACUUACUUGUGGCACUGCCGCUUGAGUCAUGUUAGUAUAAAUUGCAUGAAGAGGCUCCAUGCUGAUGGAUCUUUGUACUCACCUGAUUUCGAAUCACUAGUGACAUGCAAACCAUACCACAUGAGAAAGACCUUGUUUUCAUUGAGAUGAAAUAAGAUAGUAACUUGUUGGAAGUGAUACAUUUUGAUGUAUGCAGUCCAAUGGGUACUGAAGCACGCAGUGGAUAUCAUUAUGUUCUUACUUCACUGACGAUUUGAGUAGAUACAGGAGUAUUUACUUAAUGAAUCACAAGUCUGAAAUGUUGAAAAGUUCAAAUCCGUUUCAGAGUGAAGUUCGUCGUAACAAGAGGAUAAACUGUCUACGAUAUGAUCAUAGAAAUGAAUAUCUGAGUUACGAGUUUNNNNNNNNNNNNNNNNNNNNNNNNNNNNNNNNNNNNNNNNNNNNNNNNNNNNNNNNNNNNNNNNNNNNNNNNNNNNNNNNNNNNNNNNNNNNNNNNNNNNNNNNNNNNNNNNNNNNNNNNNNNNNNNNNNNNNNNNNNNNNNNNNNNNNNNNNNNNNNNNNNNNNNNNNNGUCAUAGCCACGCACUAUUUGGUAUGGUGCAUACUAUGAUAUCUUUUAUCGAAUUACCACUAUCGUUUAUGGGUUAUGCAUUAGAGACAACCGNNNNNNNNNNNNNNNNNNNNNNNNNNNNNNNNNNNNNNNNNNNNNNNNNNNNNNNNNNNNNNNNNNNNNNNNNNNNNNNNNNNNNNNNNNNNNNNNNNNNUCGCUACCCCUUCUGUCACUGGGUGAGGUCACCGCACGGUAUGAACCCCAAAUCAAGCACUUCUCUCAUUGCAAGAAUCAUAGAUCUAGUUGGCCAAACAAAACCCACAACCCGAAGAGAAUUACAAGGAUAUGAAAUCAUGCAUAAGAGAGAUCAGAAGAAACUCAAAUAAGAUUCAUAGACAAUUUGAUCAUAAAUCCACAAUUCAUCGGAUCUCAACGAACACACCGCAAAAGAACAUUACAUCGGAUAGAUCUCCAUGAAGAUCAUGGAGAAGUUUGUAUUGANNNNNNNNNNNCAUGGUGAACUACUCACGCAUCAUCGGAGAGGUCAUGGUGUUGAUGAAGAAGCCCUCCGUAUCUGAAUCCCCCCUCCGGCAGGGCACUAGAACAUGCCCCAGAUGGGAUCUUCCGGAGACAGAAGCUUGCGGCGUCGGAAAAGUACUUUCGAUGAUCUCCUGAUUUUUUCUGGAAUUUAUGGGAAUAUAUAGUUGAAAUACCUAGGGCAGAGGUGGCCCAGGGAGCCCACAAGCCUGGGAGGCGCCCCCCUGGUCGUGGCUAGGGGGCUUGUGGGGUCCCUGGUGGCCCCCUGCCCUAGUUCUCACGCUCCCCGAUCUUCUUCUGUUUCAGAAAAAAUCAUUUUGGAAGUUUCGUUCCGUUUGGACUCCGUUUAAAAUCCUCCUCUGAAAAGGGUCAAAACACGGAAAAAACAAGAACUCGCACUUGGCACUGAGUUAAUAAGUUAGUCCCAGAAAAUAUAUAAAAGGCAUACAAAACAUCCAAAGUUUGACAAGAUAAUAGCAUGAAAUCAUCAAAAAUUAUAGAUACGUUGGAGACGUAUCAUUGUAUCACAUACAACCUUUCCUCAAGGAAACCGUCGAGGAGGCAAUGUUGUGACAUCCUAUGUACAAUAUUUCACAAACAAUGCAGCAAUUGCUAACAUAUUCCAACAGAUUUUUAGCAUCGCAUGUCUUCCCUUUAAAGAUCCAUAUUUACUUAACAGUCCUACGACCAUCAAGUAGUUCUUCCAAAGUCUACACUUUGUUUUCAUACAUGGAUCCUCUCUCGGAUUUCAUGGCCUCCAGCAAUUUGUCGGAUUUCAUGGCCUCCAGUAAUUUGUCGGAUUUCAUGGCCUCCAGCAAUUUGUCGGACCAUCGCUUCUUCGUAGCUCGUAGGUUCAUUGUUGUUCAACAACAUGACCUCCAAGACAAGAUUACCAUACUACUUUAUAGUAGUACGCGACCUUGUCAACCUACGAGGUUUGUAGUAACUUGAUUCGAAGCUCAAUGAUCACCAUCAUCNNNNNNNNNNUUUCCACUUCAAUUGGUGUAGGCGCCACAGGAACAACUUCAUGCGCCCUGCUACACACUGGUUGAAGUGAUGGUUCACUAACCUCAUCAAGUUCCACCACCCUCCCACUCAAUUCUUUCGAGAGAAACCUUUCCUCGAGAAAGGACCCAUUUCUAGAAACAAACACUUCGCUUCCGGAUCUGAGAUAGGAGAUGUACCCAACUUUUUUGGAUAUCCUAUGAAGAUGCAUUUAUCCGCUUUGGGUUCGAGCUUAUUAGACUGAAACUUUUUCACAUAAGCGUCGCAGCCCCAAACUUUCAAGAAACGACAACUUAGGUUUCUCCAAACCAUAGUUCAUAUUGUGUCAUCUCAACGGACAUACGCAGUGCCCUAUUUAAAGUGAAUGCGGUUGUAUCUAAUGCAUAACCCAUAAACGAUAGUGGUAAUUCGAUAAGAGACAUCAUAGUAUGCGCUAUAUCCAAUAGGGCGCGGCUAUGACGUUCGUACACACCAUCACACUAUGGUGUUCUUAGGUGGCAUGAAUUGCGAAACAAUUUCCACAUUGUCUUAACCAUGUACCAAAACUCACAACUCAGAUAUUCAUCUCUAUGAUCAUAUCAUAGACAAUUUAUCCUCUUGUCAUGAUGAUCUUCACUCUGAAAUAGCUUUGAACUUUUCAAUAUUUUAGACUUGUGAUUCAUCAAGUAAAUACUCAUGUGUCUACUCAAAUCAUCAGUGAAGUAAGAACAUAACGAUAUCCACUGCGUGCCUCUCAUUGGACUGCACACAUAAAAAAUGUAUUACUUCCAACAAGUUACUUUCUUGUUCCAUGUGGUAUGAUUUGCAUGUCUCAAGUGAUUCAAAAUUUANNNNNNNNNNCCAAACGAUCCAUCUGCAUGGAGUUUUUUCAUGCGUUUUACACCAACAUGACUCAAGUGGCAGUGCCACAAGUAAGUGGUACUAUCAUUAUUACUUUGUAUCUUUUGGCACCAAUAUUAUGAACAUGUGUAACACUACGAUCGAGAUUCAAUAAACCAUUAAGGUAAUUAUUCAAGCAAAUAGAAUAACUAUUAUUCUCUUUAAAUGAAUAAUCAUAUUGCAAUAAAUAUGAUCCAGUCAUGUUCAUGCUCAACGCAAACACCAAAUAACAAUUAUUUAGGUUUAAUACCAAUCCCAAUGGCACAGGGAGCGUGCGAUGUUUGAUCACAUCAACCUUGGAGACACUUCCAACACAUAUCAUCACCUCGUCUUUAGCUAGUCUCCGUUUAUUCCGUAGUUUUUAUUUCGAGUUUCUAAUCACUUAGCAAUCGAACCAGUAUCUUAUACCCACGUGCUACUAGGAGUACUAGUAAAGUACAGAUCAAUAUCAUGUAUAUCAAAUAUACUUCUGUUGACUUCGCCAGCCUUCUCAUCUACCAAGUAUCUAGGGUAGCUCUGCCUCAGUGACCGUUCCCCUCAUAACAGAACCACUUAGUCUAGGGUUUGGGUUCAAUCUUGGGUUUCUUCAUUAGAGCAGCAACUGGUUUGUCGUUUCAUGAAGUAUCCCUUCUAGCCCUUGCCCUUCUUGAAACUAGUGGUUUUACUAACCAUCAGCAAUUGAUGCUCCUUCUUGAUUUCUACUUUUGCAGUGUCAAACAUUCUGAAUCUCUCAAGGAUCAUCAUAUCUAUCCUUCAUAUGUUAUAGUUCAUCACGAAGCUCUAGCAGCUUAGUGGCGGUGACUUUGGAGAACCAUCACUAUCUCAUCUGGAAGAUUAACUCCCAUUUGAUUCAAGCGAUUGUUGUACUCAGACAAUCUGAGAACAUGCUCAACAAUUGAGAUUUUCUCCUUUACUUUGUAGACAAAUAAUCUUGUCGGAGGUCUCAUACCUCUCAACAAGGCCACGAGCAUGAAAUCUCAAUUUCAUCUCUUAGAACAUCUCUUAUGUUCCGUGACAUUUCAAAACGUCUUCGGCGCAUUGCUUCUAAGCCAUUAAGUAUUACGCACUGAACUAUCACGUAGUCAUAAAAAAUGUGUAUGUUAGAUGUUUGCAACAUCCAUAGACGACACUCGAGGUGCAGCACACCGAGUGGUGCAUUAAGGACAUAAGCCUUCUGCGCGGCAAUGAGGACAAUCCUCAGUUUUACGGACUCAGUCCGCAAAUUUGCUACUAUCAUCUUUCAACUAAAUUUUAUCUAGGAACAUAUAAAAAACAGUAGAGCUAUAGCGCAAGCUACAUCAUAAUUAACAAAGACCUUUUGACUAAUUUCAUGAUAAUUAGAGUUUAACUAAUCAAAUUACUUAAUAAAAUCCCACUCAAAAAGUACAUCUCUCUAGUCAUUUGAGUGGUACAUGAUCCAAAUUCACUAACUCAAGUCUGAUCAUCACGUGAGUUGAGAAUAGUUUUAGUGGUAAGCAUCUCUAUGCUAAUCAUAUCAACUAUAAUAUUCAUGCUCGACCUUUUGGUCUCAUGUGUUCUGAUGCCAUGUCUGCACAUGCUAGGCUCAUCAAGUUUAACCCGAGUGUUCCGCGUGUGCAACUGUUUUGCACCCGUUGGAUGUGAGUGUUCAGUCUAUCACACCCAAUCAUCACGUGGUGUCUCGAAAUGACGAACUGUCGCAACGGUGCACAGUCAGGUAAAACACAAUUUCAUAUUGAAAUUUUAGUGAGAGAUCACCUUAUAAUCUACCGUCGUUCUAAGCAAAAUAAGGUGCAUUAAAGGAUUAACAUAACAUGCAAUUCAUAAGCGACAUGAUAUGGACAUCAUCUUGUGCUUCUUGAUCUCCAUCACCAAAGCGCCGGCAUGAUCUUCUUGUCACCGGCGCCACACCAUGAUCUCCAUCAACGUGUCGCCCUCGAGGUUUUCGUGCUAUCUAUGCUAUUACUACUAAAGCUACGACCUAGCAAUAUAGUAAACGCAUCUGCAAACACAAACGUUAGUUUAUAGACAACCCUAUGGCUCCUGCCGAUUGUCGUAGCAUCGACGUGCAAGUCGAUAUUAACUAUUAGAACAUGAUCAUCUCAUACAUCCAAUAUAUCACAUCACAUCAUUGGCCAUAUCAUAUCACAAGCAUACCCUGCAAAAAUAAGUUAGACGUCCUCUAAUUUGUUGUUGCAUGUUUUACGUGGCUGCUAUGGGUAUCUAGUAUGAUCGCAUCUUACUUACGCAAAAACCACAACGGAGAUGUGCAAAUUGCUAUUUAACCUCUCCAAGGAAUGCCCCGGUCAAAACCAAUUCAACUAAAGUUGAAGAAACCGACACCCGCAAGUCAUCUUUAUGCAACGAGGUUGCAUGUCAAUCGAUGAAACCAGUCUCUCGUAAGCGUACGAGUUAUGUCGGUCCGGGCCGCUUCAAUCCAACAAUACCGCUGAAUCAAGAAAAGACUAAGGAGGGCAGAAAAUCGAACAUCACCAUCCACAAAACCUUUUGUGUUCUACUCGAGAUAACAUCUACGCAUGAACCUAGCUCAUGAUGCCACUGUAGGGGAACGUUGCAUGGGAAACAAAAAAAUCCUACGCACACGAAGACCUAUCAUGGUGAUGUCCAUCUACAAGAGGACAUUAGAUCUAUGUACCCUUAUAGAUCGCUCAGCGGGAAGCGUUAAGAAACGCGGUUGAUGUAGUGGAACGUCUUCACGUCCCUCGAACCGUCCCACGAUCCGUUCUGAUCUAGUGCCGAACGGACGGCACCUCCGCGUUCAGCACACGUACAGCUCGACAAUGAUCUCGGCCUUCUUGAUCCAACAAGCAAGACGGAGAAGUAGAUGAGUCCUCAGGCAGCGCGAUGGCGCUCCGGUGGUGGUGAUGAUCUACUAUUGCAGGGCUCCGCCCGAGCUUCGCAGAAAUCCGAUCUAGAGGUAGAACUAUGUGGUCUAGGGUUGAGUUGCACGUGGAAAAAGUUGUCUCAGAUGAGCCCUAAAACACCACUAUAUAUAGGAGGGAGGGGGAGGGGCUUGCCUUGAGGUACAAGGCCCUCAAGGGUGCACCAGCGCUAGGAGGAGGAGGAGGACUCCUCCAAUUCGGUUUGGGGAAGGAGGAGUCCUCCUCUUCCUUCCCACCUCCCUCUUUCCCUUUUUCUUUUUCUUUUCUUUUGGUAUUUCUUUAUGUGGCGCCAUGGGCCCCUUGGGCUGACUCCACCAGUCCACUAAGGACUUGUGGCGUCACCCUUGUGCCUUGGGCUCACUCUCGGGUGGGUGGGCCCCUCCCGGUGAACUCCCGGAACCCAUUCGUCACUCCCGGUACACUACCAGAAUUGCCCAAAACUUUCCGGUGACCAAAUGAAACCAUCCUAUAUAUCAAUCUUUGUUUCCGAACCAUUCUGGAAACCCUCGUGAUGUCCGUGAUCUCAUCCGGGACUCCGAACAACAUUCGGUAACCACACAUAUAACUCAACUAUACUAAAACAUCAUCGAACCUUAAGUGUGCAGAGCUUGCGAGUUCGAGAACUAUGUAGUCAUGCCCCGAGGCACUCCUCGGUCAAUAUCCAAUAGCGGGACCUGGAUACCCAUAUUGGAUCCUACAUAUUCUCCGAAGAUCUUAUUGAUUGAACCUCAGUGUCAAGGAUUCAUAUAAUCCCGUAUGUCAUUCCCUUUGUCCUUCGGUAUGUUACUUGCCCGAGAUUUGAUCGUCGGUAUCCGCAUACCUAUUUAAAUCUCGUUACCGGCAAGUCUCUUUACUCGUUAUGUAAUACAAGAUCCCGUGACUCAAACUUAGUCACAUUGCUUGCAAGGCUUGUGUGUGAUGUUGUCUUACCGAGUGGGCCCCGAGAUACCUCUCCGUCACUCGGAGUGACAAAUUCCAGUCUUGAUCCAUACUAACUCAGCGGACACCUUCGGAGAUACCUAUAGAGCACCUUUAUAGUCAGACAGUUAUGGUGUGACGUUUGAUGCACACAAGGUAUUCCUCCGGUGCCAGUGAGUUAUAUGAUCUCAUGGUCANNNNNNNNNNCAUAGCAAUAAAAAGACAUGAUCAAUAUGCUACGUUCAUAGUUUGGGUCUAGUCCAUCACAUGAUUCUCCUAAUAAUGUGAUCCAGUUAUCAAGUGACAACACUUGCAUAUAGCGAGAAAACCUUGACUAUCAUUGAUCAUCUGGCUAGCCAACUAGAGGCUUGCUAGGGACAUUGUUUUGUCUAUGUAUCCACACAUGCAUCUAUGUAUUCAUUCAAUACAAUUAUAGCAUGGAUAAUAAACGAUUAUCAUGAACAAAGAAAUAUAAUAAUAACUAAUUUAUUAUUGCCUCUAGGGCAUAUUUCCAACAAUAUCUACUUGAUGAAGCACAAGUCUGAAACGUUUGAGAACUUCAAGCAAUUUCAGAGUGAAGUUGAAAAUCAUCGUAACAAGAUGAAGUUCCUACAUUCUGAUCGUGGGGGUGAAUAUCUGAGUUUCAAGUUUGGUGCUCACUGAAGACAAUGUGGAAUUGUUUCACAGUUGACACCUCCUAGAACACCACAGCGUAAUGGUGUGUCCGAACGUCGUAAUCGUACUUUGUUAGAAAUAGUGCGAUCUAUGAUGUCUCUUACCGAUUUGUCGUUAUCGUUUUGGGGUUAUGCAUUAGAAGCAACUCCAUUCACUAAAAAUAGGGCACCAUCAAAAUCCAUUGAGAAUACACCAUACGAACUAUGGUAUGGCAAAAGACCGAAAUUGUCAUUUCUUAAACUUUGGGGAUGUGAUGCUUAUGUCAAAAAGCUUCAGCCUGAAAAGCUAGAACCCAAAGCAGAAAAGUGUGUCUUCAUAGGUUACCCAAAAGAGACAGUUGGGUACACCUUCUAUCUCAAAUCCGAGGGGAAAGUAUUUGUUGCUAAGAACUGAGCUUUUCUUGAGAAAGAGUUUCUCUUGAAAGAAUUGAGUGGGAGGAAGAUAGAACUUGAUGAGGUUGUAGAACCUCUAGUCCCUCUAGAUGGUGGCGCGGGGCAAGGGGAAACCCCUGUCGAAGCGAUGCCGGUUGAGGAGGAAGUUAAUAAUGAUGAUCAUGAAACUUUGGAUCAAGUUCCUGUGGGACCUCGCAGGUCGAUGAUACGUCCAUUUUGCAUCAUGCUUUCAUGUUGAUAUUUAUUGCUUUUUGGGCUGUUAUUACACUUCGAGGUACAAUACUUAUACCUUUUCUCUCUUAUUUUGCAAGGUUUACACGAAGACGCAUUUAUUCUUAAUGGGGGUGCGGUAAGCUGGUGCAGUUCCAAGCAAAGCGUCGUAUCAGUUUCUACAUGUGAAGCGGAGUACAUGGCUGCCUCGGAGGCAGCUAAGGAGGGUGUCUGGAUGAAGCAGUUCAUGACGGAUCUUGGAGUUGUGUCGAGCGCACUAAAUCCAAUAACUAUGUUCUAUGAAAAAACUGGUGUCAUUGCGUUAGCAAAGGAACCAAGGUUUCACAAGAAGACCAGACAUAUCAAACGAAGCUUCGACCUCAUCCGCGACUACGUUGAAGAAGAGGACGUAAAUAUUUGCAAAGUGCACACGGAUCUGAAUGUAGCAGACACGCUGACUAAACCUCUUCCACGGGCAAAACAUGAUCAACACGAGAACUAUAUGGGUGUUAGAUUUAUUACAAUGUAAAUCGCAUGGCAAUGUGAGGACUAGAUUAUUGACUCUCGUGCAAGUGGGAGACUAUUGGAAAUAUGCCCUAGAGGCAAUNNNNNNNNNNNNNNNNNNNNNNNNNNNNNNNNNNNNNNNNNNNNNNNNNNNNNNNNNNNNNNNNNNNNNNNNNNNNNNNNNNNNNNNNNNNNNNNNNNNNNNNNNNNNNNNNNNNNNNNNNNNNNNNNNNNNNNNNNNNNNNNNNNNNNNNNNNNNNNNNNNNNNNNNNNNNNNNNNNNNNNNNNNNNNNNNNNNNNNNNNNNNNNNNNNNNNNNNNNNNNNNNNNNNNNCCAUAGGCAAGUGUUGUCACUUGAUACCGGGAUCACAUCAUUAGGAGAAUCAUGUGAUGGACUAGACCCAAACUAUGAACGUAGCAUGUUGAUCGUGUCAUUUUGUUGCUAUUGUUUUCUACGUGUCAAGUAUUUAUUCCUAUGACCAUGAGAUCAUAUAACUCACUGGCACCGGAGGAAUACCUUGUGUUUAUCAAACGUCGCAACGUAACUAGGUGACUAUAAAGGUGCUCUAUAGGUAUAUCCGAAGGUGUCUGUUGAGUUAGUAUGGAUCAAGACUGGGAUUUGUCACUCCGUGUGACGGAGAGGUAUCUCGGGGCCCACUCGGUAAUACAACAUCACACACAAGCCUUACAAGCAGUGUAACUAAGUGUAAGUCACUGGAUCUUGUAUUAUGGAACGAGUAAAGAGACUUGCCGGUAACGAGAUUGAAAUAGGUAUGCGGAUACCGACGACCGAAUCUCACGCAAGUAACAUACCGAAGGACAAAGGGAAUGACAUACGGGAUUAUAUGAAUCCUUGGCACUGAGGUUCCACCGAUAAGAUCUUCGGAGAAUAUGUAGGAUCCAAUAUGGGCAUCCAGGUCCCGCUAUUGGAUAUUGACUGAGGACUGUCUCGGGUCAUGUCUACAUAAUUCUCGAACCCGCAGGGUCUGCACACUUAAGGUUCGAUGAUGUUUUAGUAUAGUUGAGUUAUAUGNNNNNNNNNNAGAGUCCCGGGUGAGAUCACAGACGUCACGAGGGUUUCUGGAAUGGUCCGGAAACGAAGAAUGAUAUAUAGGAUUGUUUCAUUUGGUCACCGAAAAGCUUCGGGCAUUUCGGGCAGUGUACCGGGAGUGACGAAUGGGUUCUGGGUGUUUACUGGGAGGGGCCCACCCACCCGGGAGUGAGCCCAUGGCAUUAGGGUGGCACACCAAGUCCUUAUUGGGCUGGUGGAGCCAGCCCAAGAGGGCUAUGGCGCCACAAGUAAAAAUACCAAAAGAAACAAGAAGAAAAAAGGGAAAGAGGGAGGUGGGACGGAAGAGCAGGACUCCUCCUUCCCAAACCGAAUUGGAGGAGGAGUCCUCCUCCCCCUUUCGUCGGCGCACCCUUGGGGACCUUGUGCCCCAAGUCUAGCCCCUCCCCUCCUCCUAUAUAUGUUGGUGGUUUAGGGCUUUUUGAGACACAACUUUGCCACGUGCAACUCUAGCCUAUAUUCCACAUAGUUUUACCUCUAGAUCAGAUUUCCGCGGAGCUCGAGCGGAGCCGUGCAGGAGUAGAUCAUCUCCACCACUGGAGCACCUUACGCUAACGGAGAACUCAUCUACUUCUCCAUCUUCCUUGAUGGAUCAAGAAGGCCGAGAUCGUCAUCGAGCUGUACGUGUGCUGAACGCGGAGGUGUCGUCCGUUCGGCGCUAGAUCGGAACCGUUUGUGGGACGAACCGUGGGACGACGGUGAUUUGAAUCACGAAGCUGUACCACUACAUCAACCGCAUUUCUUAACGUUUCCCACUUAGCGAUCUACAAGGGUACGUAGAUCUAAUCUCCUCUCGUAGAUGGACAUCACCAUGAUAGGUCUUCGUGUGCGUAGGAAAUUUUUUGUUUCCCAUGCAACGUUCCCCAACACAUACGGGAUUAUAUGAAUCCUUGGCACUUAGGUUCAACCGAUAAAGAUCUUCGGAGAAUAUUUAGGAUCUAAUAUGGGCAUCCAGGACCCUCUAUUGGUUAUUGACCGAGGAGUGUCUCGGGUCAUGUGUACAUAGUUCUCGAACCCGGAGGGUCUGCACACUUAAGGUUUGAUGAUGUUUUAGUAUAGUUGAGUUAUAUGUGUGGUUACCUAAUGUUGUUCAGAGUCCAGGAUGAGAUCACGGAUGCCACGAGGGUUUCCGGAAUGGUCCGGAAACGAAGAUUGAUAUAUAGGAUGGUUUCAUUUGGUCACCGGAAAGUUUCGGGCAUUGCCGGCAGAGUAUGGGGAGUGACGAAUGGGUUCCGGGUGUUCACCGGGAGGGGCCCACCCACCCGGGAGUGAGCCCAAUAGCCUUAGGGUGGCGCACCAGCCCUUAGUGGGCUGGUGGAGCAAGCCCAAGAGGGCUAUGGCGCCACAAGUGAAAAAAACAAAGGAAAGAAAAAAAAAGGAAAAGAGGGAGGUGGGAAGGAAGAGGAGGACUCCUCUUCCCAAACCGAAUUGGAGAAGGAGUCCUCCUAUCCACUUCAGUCGGCACACCCUUGGGGCCCUUGAGCCCCAAGGCUAGCCCAUCCCCUCCUCCUAUAUAUACUGGUGGUUUUAGGGUUUUUGAGACACAACUUUGCCAUGUGCAACUCAAACCUAUUCCACAUAGUUUUGCCUCUAGAUCGGAUUUCUACGGAGCUCGGGCGGAGCCCUGCAGGAGUAGAUCAUCACCACCACCAGAGCGCCGUCACACUGCCGGAGAACUCAUCUACUUCUCUGUCUCUCUUGCUGGAUCAAGAAGGCCGAGAUCGUCAUCGAGUUGUACGUGUGCUGAACGCAGAGGUCGCGUCCGUUCGGCGCUAGAUUGGAACGGGUCGUGGGAUGGAUCGUGGGACGACGGUGAUUUGAAUCACGAAGUUGUACCACUACAUCAAUCGCGUUUCUUAACGCUUCCCUCUUAGCGAUCUACAAGGGUAGGUAGAUCUAAUCUCCUCUCGUAGAUGGACAUCACCAUGAUAGGUCUUCGUGUGCGUAGGAUUUUUUUUGUUUCCCAUGCAACGUUCCCCAACCAAAUGCAGCCAUUAUAAGACAUAUUAUCAAUCUAUCAAUCUUCAAGAUGUGUUCUUCACUAUUUUCUUCUUAAGAUCUGAUCUCCGUGUAUGAUGAGUUAGGUAAGGUAUGGGUUGGGGCAUAGGCAUUGCAACCUUUUGUAUUUGUUGUGGGGAUCAACUAAAGGGCUUUGAAUUAACAUCCCAUAUGUGUAAAAUAAUUUUUUUGUAGAUAUAUUUUGUCUUGUUUGUGUACUUCAUCCCUCUAGGUACGGAGGAUAAUGGAGAGCAAGUCAUGGAGAGGCUAAUGGUUGGGAGAACGUGAAGUGUUACUCUGAACACUAGUGUGAAAGUGCGUUAUAUCAACUAGAGGGGGUGAAUAGGCGAUUUUUAUGAAUUCGUCACUUAGGAAAUUCCUUUUGAGGAAAUUCCUCACUCACGAACUGCGUGCAGCGGAAUAAGUACUCAAGCAGGUGUGGAAAACAACAAUAGCAUAGUCUUGAGAGUAAAAUGAAACAUUCGGUUUGCACAAGUAGCAUGUUGAGGAUAUGCAGGUGAAGAACAAGUGAAGUGAAGAAUUUGGGGUGAGGAAAUUGUGAAAGUCUUCAGUCAAAUUCUUCAUACAGUAACGAUCAAUUUCAUCAACAUACAAUUGAGGAAAUGAAAGGGUAUUACCACAAGAGGUACAUGACAUCAUAUAAUUCGACUAAUCAUCAACACAUAUGAUCAUAAUCAUGGUGCCAAUUCAUAAGGUAAAAAAAUAGAUAUGACCCAUAGCUACUACCACAAACCCUAACCCCAAAGGUAGACUACUUUAGCAUAGUCAUGGGAGUUGCAAGGGUUGAUGUAGAAGUUGAAGACAUAGAGACCCCUUCGAUAUAGUGUCACAUUAGAGCUAAAAACGAAGAUCGCCUCGAAACAAGAAGUGACAUGAUACGUCUCCAACGUCUCUAUAAUUUUUUACGGUUUCAUACUAUUAUCUUGUCAAACUUUGGAUGCGUUGUAUGCCUUUUAUAACUUUUUGGGACUAACUUAUUAACUCAGUGCCAAGUGCCAGUUCCUGUUUUUUCCGUGUUUUUGACCCUUUUCAGAGGAGGAUUUUAAACGGAGUCCAAACGGAAUAAAACUUCCGAAAAGAUUUUUUUUUGGAACAGAAGAUACGCAGAAAGCUUGGGAGCCAAGGCAGGGAGUCCCGGGGGAGGCCACAAGCCCCCAUGGCGCGACCAGGGGGGCCCGCGCCUCCCAGGCUUGUGGGAUCCCUGGGCCUCCCCUGCCCUAGCUCCUUCGCCUAUAAAUUUUCUAAAAUUCCUAAAAAAUCAGGGGAUCCACGAAAACACUUUUCCGCCGCCGCAAGCUUCUGUCUCCGCAAGAUCCCAAUGCGGGGCACGUUCUCGUGCCCUGUCGGAGGGGGGAUUCGGAUAUGGAGGGCUUCUUCAUCAACACCAUGACCUCUCCGAUGAUGCGUGGGUAGUUCACCAUAGACCUACGGGUCCAUAGCUAGUAGCUAGAUGGCUUCUUCUCUCUCUUGNNNNNNNNNNNNNNNNNNNNNNNNNNNNNNNNNNNNNNNNNNNNNNNNNNNNNNNNNNNNNNNNNNNNNNNNNNNNNNNNNNNNNNNNNNNNNNNNNNNNNNNNNNNNNNNNNNNNNNNNNNNNNNNNNNNNNNNNNNNNNNNNNNNNNNAGGUGUGUUUGUCGAAAUCCGAUGAAUUGUGGAUUUAUGAUCAGAUUAUCUAUGAAUCUUAUUUGAGUUUCUUCCGAUCUCUUAUAUGAAUGAUUUCAUAUCCUUGUAAUUCUCUUCAAGUUGUGGGUUUUGUUUGGCCAACUUGAUCUAUGAUUCUUGCAAUGGGAGAAGUGCUUGGUUUUGGGUUCAUACCGUGCGGUGACCUCACCCAGUGACAGAAGGGGUAGCGAGGCAUGCAUCAUGUUCUUGCCAUCAAGGGCAAAAAGAUGGGGUUUUCAUCAUUGGUUUGAGUUUAUCCCUCUACAUCAUGUCNNNNNNNNNNGGCAUUACUCUGUUCGUCAUGAACUCAAUACACUAGAUGCAUGUUGGGUAGCGGUCGAUGUGUGGAGUAAUAGUAGUAGAUGCAGAAAGUAUCGGUCUACUUGUCUCGGACGUGAUGCCUAUAUUGUUGGGGAACAUCGCAUGGGAAACAAAAAAAUUCCUACGCGCACGAAGACCUAUCAUGGUGAUGUCCAUCUACGAGAGGGGAUGAGUGAUCUACGUACCCUUGUAGAUCAUACAGCAGAAGCGUUAGUGAACGCGGUUGACGUAGUGGAACGUCCUCACGUCCCUCGAUCCGCCCCGCGGACAAUCCCGCGAUCAGUCCCACGAUCUAGUACCGAACGGACGGCACCUNNNNNNNNNNNNNNNNNNNNNNNNNNNNNNNNNNNNNNNNNNNNNNNNNNNNNNNNNNNNNNNNNNNNNNNNNNNNNNNNNNNNNNNNNNNNNNNNNNNNUCCGGACGACUCUAAGUCGCAAACCGGAUACGUAUUUAUUCUUAAUGGGGGUGCAGUAAGCUGGUGCAGUUCCAAGCAAAGCGUCGUAGAAGAUUCUACAUGUGAAGCGGAGUACAUGGCUGCCUCGGAGGCGGCUAAAGAGGGUGUCUGGAUGAAGCAGUUCAUGACGGAUCUUGGAGUGGUGCCAAGCGCACUGGAUCUAAUAACCUUGUUCUGUGACAACACGGGUGCCAUUGCCUUAGCAAAGGAACCACGGUUUCACAAGAAGACCAGACACAUCAAACGACGCUUCAACCUCAUCCGCGACUACGUCGAGGAAGAGGAUGUAAAUAUAUGCAAAGUGCACACGGAUCUGAAUGUAGCAGACCCGCUGACUAAACCUCUUCCACGGCCAAAACAUGAUCGACACCAGAACUGUAUGGGUGUUAGAUUUAUUACAAUGUAAUUCACAUGGUGAUGUGAGGGCUAGAUUAUUGACUCUAGUGCAAGUGGGAGACUGUUGGAAUUAUGCCCUAGAGUCAAUGAUAAAUAUAGUUAUUAUUAUAAUUCCUGUAUCAAGAUAAUUUUUUAUUGUCCAUGCUAUAAUUGUAUUGAAUGAAGACUCAUUUACAUGUGUGGAUANNNNNNNNNNNNNNNNNNNNNNNNNNNNNNNNNNNNNNNNNNNNNNNNNNNNNNNNNNNNNNNNNNNNNNNNNNNNNNNNNNNNNNNNNNNNNNNNNNNNUGGAAUUUAUGGGAAUAUAUAGGCGAAAGUCCUAGGGCAAAGGGCGUCCAGGGGGCCCACAAGCCUGGAUGGCAGGCCCCCUGGCCGCGGGGUGGGGGCUUGUGGGGCCCCUGGGGCUCCCCUGCCUUGGCUCCCAAGCUCCGUGAUCUUCUUCCUUUCCAAAAAAAAUAUUUUCGGGGAUUUUCUUCCGUUUGGACUCUGUUUCAAAAUCUCCUCUGAAAGGGGUCAAAAACAUGGAAAAAACAGGAACUAGCACUUGGCACUGAGUUAAUAAGUUUGUCCCAAAAAAUAUAUAAAAGGCAAGCAAAACAUCCAAAGUUUGACAAGAUAAUAGCAUGAAACCAUAAAAAAUGAUAGAUACGUUGGAGACGUAUUAGUAAUCUAUUGUAAUUUCCAUGAGUAUUGUUGUAGGAGUUGCCAAAGUUAUUAGUGGAGUUACUAGGAAAAGGCCUAGGAACAUAGUUUCCUCUAAAAGCAUUGUUGUUGCCAAAAUUAUGUUGGGGAACGUCGCAUGGGAAACAAAAAAAUUCCUACGCGCACGAAGACCUAUCAUGGUGAUGUCCAUCUACGAGAGGGGAUGAGUGAUCUACGUACCCUUGUAGAUCGUACAGCAGAAGCGUUAGUGAACGCGGUUGAUGUAGUGGAACGUCCUCACGUCCCUCGAUCCGCCCCNNNNNNNNNNUGAGAGGGGAUGAGUGAUCUACGUACCCUCGUAGACCGUACAACAGAAGCGUUAGAGAACGCGGUUGAUGUAGUGGAACGUCCUCACGUCCCUCGAUCCGCCCCGCGAACAAUCCCGCGAUCAGUCCCACGAUCUAGUACCGAACGGACGGCACCUNNNNNNNNNNAGGUGGAGGAGUCCUACUCCAAUCCUACUUGGAGUAGGAUUCCACCUUCCCACUUGGAAACUCUUUCCACCUUGUGUUUUUUUCCUUCUCAAACCUUAUGGGCCUUAGUGGGAACUUAUUCCAGCCCACUAGGGGCUGGUUUAUCUCUUCCCAUAGCCCAUGAGACCCCUUGGGGCGUGACACCCCUCCCAAUGGUCCCCGGCACCCCUCCCAGCACUCCCGGUACACUACCGAUGAACCCAAAACUUUUCCGGUNNNNNNNNNNUCUAGAGGAAAAACCGUGGAGGUAUGUGGUCGGGCUGCCGUGGAAAAGUCGUCUCAAAUCAGCCCUAAAACCUCCGUAUAUAUAGGUGGGAGGGAGGGGACCUUGCCUUGGGGCUCAAGGAGCCCCAAGGGGGUCGGCCGAGUCCAAGGGGGGAGGACUCCCCCCCCCAAACCGAGUUGGACUUGGUUUGGUGGGAGGGAGUCCCCCUUCCUUCCCUCCUCCUCCCUUUUUUUUUCUUUCUCUCUUGAUUUUCUUCUCCUUGGCGCAUAGAGCCUUUUGGGCUGUCCCACCAGCCCACUAAGGGCUGGUGUGUCACCCCAAAGGCCUAUGGGCUUCCCCGGGGUGGGUUGCCCCCCCGGUGAACUCUCAGAACCCAUUCGUCAUUCCCGGUACAUUCCCGGUAAUUCCGAAAACCUUCCGGUAAUCAAAUGAGGUCAUACUAUAUAUCAAUCUUCGUUUCCGGACCAUUCCGGAAACCCUCCUGACGUCCGUGAUCUCAUCCGGGACUCCGAACAACAUUCGGUAACCAANNNNNNNNNNGCCUUGCCUUGGGGUCCAAGUACCCUCAAGGGGGUCGGCCGAGCCAAGGGGGAGGACUCUCCCCCCCAAACCGAGUUGGACUAGGUUUGGUGGGAGGGAGUCCCCCUCCCUUCCCACCUCCUCCCUUUUUUUUCUUUUUCCUUUGAUUUCUUAUCCUUGGCGCAUAGACCACUUGUGGGCUGUCCCACCAGCCCACUAAGGGCUGGUGUGUCUCCCCAAAGGCCUAUGGGCUUCCCCGGGGUGGGUUGCCCCCCCCGGUGAACUCCNNNNNNNNNNUCCUCCUUUUUUUUCCUCUUGAUUUUCUUCUCCCGAGUUGGACUUGGUUUGGUGGGAGGGAGUCCCCCUUCCUUCCCACCUCCUCCUUUUUUUUCCUCUUGAUUUUCUUCUCCUUGGCGCAUAGAGCCCUUUUGGGCUGUCCCACCAGCCCACUAAGGGCUGGUGUGCCACCCUCAAGGCCUAUGGGCUUCCCCGGGGUGGGUUGCCCCCCCCGGUGAACUCCCGGAACCCAUUCGUCAUUCCCGGUACAUUCCCGGUUACUCCGAAAACCUUCCGGUAAUCAAAUGAGGUCAUCCUAUACAUCAAUCUUCGUUUCCGGACUAUUCCGGAAACCCUCGUGACGUCCGUGAUCUCAUCUGGGACUCCGAACAACAUUCGGUAACCAACCAUAUAACUCAAAUACGCANNNNNNNNNNGAUGAGCCCGAAACUUUUCCGGUAAUGCACGAAAACCUUCCGGUAACCAAAUGAGGUCNNNNNNNNNNGACCAAAACAGGACUUCCUAUAUAUCAAUCUUUACCUCCGGACCAUUCCGGAGCUCCUCGUGACGUCCUGGAUCUCAUCCGGGACUCCGAACAACAUUCGGUAACCAACCAUAUAACUNNNNNNNNNNAACUCCGAAAACCUUCCGGUAAUCAAAUGAGGUCAUCCUAUAUAUCAAUCUUCGUUUCCGGACCAUUCCGGNNNNNNNNNNUAAAACAACGUCGAACCUUAAGUGUGCAGACCCUGCGGGUUCGAGAACUAUGUAGACAUGACCCGAGAGACUCCUCGGUCAAUAUCCAACCGCGGGACCUGGAUGCCCAUUUUGGAUCCUACAUAUUCUACAAAGAUCUUAUCGUUUGAACCUCAGUGCCAAGGAUUCGUAUAAUCCCGUAUGUCAUUCCCUUUGUCCUUCGGUAUGUUACUUGCCCNNNNNNNNNNUGACUCCUCGGUCAAUAUGCAAUAGCGGGACCUGGAUGCCCAUAUUGGAUCCUACAUAUUCUACGAAGAUCUUAUCGGUGGAACCUCGGUGCCAAGGAUUCAUAUAAUCCCGUAUGUUAUUCCCUUUGUCCUUCGGUAUGUUACUUGCCCGAGAUUCGAUCGUCAGNNNNNNNNNNNNNNNNNNNNNNNNNNNNNNNNNNNNNAUAAUACAAGAUCCUGCAACUUACAUUAAGUUACAUUUCUUGCAAGGCUUGUGUGUGAUGUUGUAUUACCGAGUGGGCCCCGAGAUACCUCUCCGUUCACACGGAGUGACAAAUCCCAGUCUUGAUCCAUACUAACUCAACGAACACCUUCGGAGAUACCUGUAGAGCAUCUUUAUAGUCACCCAGUUACGUUGCGACGUUUGAUACACACAAAGCAUUCCUCCGGUGUCAGUGAGUUANNNNNNNNNNAAUACAAGAUCCCGCAACUUACACUAAGUUACACUGCUUGUAAGGCUUGUGUGUGAUGUUGUAUUACCGAGUGGGCCCCGAGAUACCUCUCCGUCACGCGGAGUGACAAAUCCCAGUCUCGAUCCAUACUAACUCAACUAACACCUUCGGAGAUACCUGUAGAGCAUCUUUAUAGUCACCCAAUUACGUUGCAACGUUUGAUACACACAAAGCAUUCCUCCGGUGUCAGUGAGUUAUAUGANNNNNNNNNNNNNNNNNNNNNNNNNNNNNNNNNNNNNNNNNNNNNNNNNNNNNNNNNNNNNNNNNNNNNNNNNNNNNNNNNNAACAACACUUGCCUAUGGCCAAGAAACCUUGGCCAUCUUUGAUCAACGAGCCAGUCAACUAGAGGCUUACUAGGGACGGUGUUUUGUCUAUGUAUCCACACAAGUAUUGUGUUUCCAAUCAAUACAAUUAUAGCAUGGAUAAUAAACGAUUAUCAUGAACAAAGAAAUAUAAUAACAACUAUUUUAUUAUUGCCUCUAGGGCAUAUUUCCAACAUAUAUGUAUGAUCAUUGCCUUAUAUGUAUGAUCAUACAUAUAGGCAUCACGUCCGAGACAAGUAGACCGAUACUUNNNNNNNNNNUAACACCUUUGGAGAUACCUGUAGAGCACCUUUAUGGUCACCCAGUUACAUUGCGACGUUUGAUACACACAAAGCAUUCCUCCGGUGUCAGUGAGUUAUAUGAUCUCAUGGUCAUAGGAAUAAAUACUUGACACGCAGAAAACAGUAGCAACAAAAUGACACGAUCAACAUGCUACGUCUAUUAGUUNNNNNNNNNNNNNNNNNNNNNNNNNNNNNNNNNNNNNNNNNNNNNNNNNNNNNNNNNNNNNNNNNNNNNNNNNNNNNNNNNNNNNNNNNNNNNNNNNNNNGCACAGCGGUAGUACCGCUCUCAAAGAGGUAGUAAAAUUUUACUACCGCUCCAGGAGCGGUACUACCGUCCCNNNNNNNNNNCCCGAAGAACGGUAGUAGUUUUUUACUACCGCUCCAAGGGCGGUACUACCGCCCUUAGUGCGGUAGUAUUAUUUUACUACCGCACCGACGGACCUUUUCUCGCAUACUUUCCAACGGAGGGGGUGGCGCGGUAGUACCCCCCGGUACUACCGUGGUUGGUAUGGAGCUGAGCGCUAGUACCGCUCCCUCGAGCGGUAGUACCGCUCUGGGAAGCGGUAGUACCGCUCGUGCAUUUAUNNNNNNNNNNUACGGAGGGGGUGGCGCGGUAGUACCCCCCGGUACUACCGUGGUUGGUAAGGAGCUGAGCGCUAGUACCGCUCCCUGGAGCGGUAGUACCGCUCUGGGAAGCGGUAGUACCGCUCGUGCAUUUAUGUGGCAGGUGGGUAACGGUUGGAUCUGCCCCACCCACUAUAUAAAUGCAUCUCCUUCUUCCUUGAGCUCACCUUCGACCUCUCUAAGCUCCAUUGUUGCUCCACAAGCUCAUUUUAGCCCGAUCUCUCUCCCUAGCCAAUCAAUCUUGUUGAUUUUCUAGGGAUUGCUUGAGAAGGCCUUGAUCCACACUUCGACCAAAGGAUAUUUGAUUCCCCCUACUAAUCCCUUGUGGAUCUUGUUACUCUUGGGUGGUUGAGCACCCUAGACGGUUGAGGUCACCUCGGAGCAACAUUCCAUUGUGGUGAAGCUCCGUGGUCUUGUUGGGAGCCUCCAAGCUUUGUGUGGAGAUUGCCCCAACCUUGUUUGUAAAGGUUCCGUCGCCGCCUUCAAGAGCACCUAUAGUGGAAUCACGGUACCUUGCAUUGUGCGAGGGCGUGAGAAGAAUACGGUGGCCCUAGUGGCUUAUUGGGGAGCAUUGUGCCUCCACACCGCUCCAACGGAGACGUACUUCCUGUCAAAGGGAAGGAACUUCGGUAACACAUCCUCGUCUUCAUCGGUUACACUUGUGGUUAUCUCUUACCUUUACUCUAUAUAUGUUGGUGUUGUAGNNNNNNNNNNUGGAGACGUACUUCCUGUCAAAGGUAAGGAACUUCGGUAACACAUCCUCGUCUUCAUCGGUUCCACUUGUGGUUAUCUCUUACCUUUACUCUAUAUAUGUUGGUGUUGUAGAGUAUCUCCUACGUGCUUCGUNNNNNNNNNNNNNNNNNNNNNNNNNNNNNNNNNNNNNNNNNNNNNNNNNNNNNNNNNNNNNNNNNNNNNNNNNNNNNNNNNNNNNNNNNNNNNNNNNNNNAAGAGAAUGAAAUUGAUGGUUAGAAAUUGUCCCGCUCAUGGCCUGAGUCUCUGGAUGAUUAUUCAAAUCUUUUACGCUGGCUUGAAUUUCGCUUCUAGAAAUAUCUUGGACUCCGCCUCAGGUGGAACGUUCAUGGAAAUCACGUUAGGGGAAGCUACAAAGCUCGUAGACAACAUCCUGACGAAUUACUCUCAGUGGCACACUAAAAGGUCACCUACUAGUAAGAAGGUACACGCUAUAGAAGAAAUUAACUCGUUGAGUGCUAAGAUGGAUGAGUUAAUGAAUUUGGUUGCUAGUAGAAGUGCUCCUUUAGAUCCUAAUGAUAUGCCCUUGUCUUCUUUGAUUAAGAGUAGCAACGCUAGCUUGGACGUUAAUUUUGUUGGUAGGAAUAAUUUUGGCAACAACAAUGCUUUUAGAGGAAACUAUGUUCCUAGGCCUUUUCCUAGUAACUCCUCUAAUAACUUUGGCAACUCCUACAACAAUACUCAUAGAAAUUACAAUAGAUUACCCUCUGAUCUAGAGAGUAAUAUCAAAGAGUUUAUGAACUCGCAAAAAAAUUUCAAUGCAUCCAUAGAGGAAAAACUACUCAAAAUUGACGAUUUGGCUAAGAGCGUUGAUAGAAUGUCUAGUGAUAUUGAUGCUUUGAAAGUUAGAUGUGCUCCUCCCAAGAUCAAUAUGGAUGAAACUUUGAAAGCUAUGCGUGUUUCCAUGAUUGAGAGCAAAGAAAGAACCGCCCAAAUUCGUGCUAGACAUGAAUGGCUUAAAAAGGCGUGUUCUCGUGAUAAGAAUCGCGAAGAUCUUAAAGUGCUUGGUGUGACUCCCAUUAAAUCUUUGUUUUCUUGUGUCAAACCUAAUGAUGAUGGGGCUGGAUAUGAAUCCACUUUGGUUGAAAAACGCCCCAAUGAUUCGGAGUCCAUCUAUCUUGAUGCUAAAAGCAUUGAAAGUGGAGUAGGAGAUAUUAAAACUUAGAGUAGUAAUGAAAUUACUACCUUGGAUUUCAAGGAAUUCAAUUAUGAUAGUUGCUCCUUGAUUGAAUGCAUUUCCUUGAUGCAAUCCAUGCUAAACUCUCCACACACUUAUAGCCAAAACAAGGCCUUUACCGAUCAUAUCGUCGAAGCUAUGAUAAAAUCUCUUGAAGAGNNNNNNNNNNNNNNNNNNNNNNNNNNNNNNNNNNNNNNNNNNNNNNNNNNNNNNNNNNNNNNNNNNNNNNNNNNNNNNNNNNNNNNNNNNNNNNNNNNNNUCGCCUACCCCGACCCCCUCGCCGCCGGCCAUCCCAGCCCGAUCCAUCCCUCGCAGAAUACCCCGUCGCCCUGGACCUGACGGCCUCCACCUCCCAGGCCGCGCCCUCGAGCCCUCCGCCGCCGCCGUUGCUCGGUGUCGUCUCUGGCGCCNNNNNNNNNNNNNNNNNNNNNNNNNNNNNNNNNNNNNNNNNNNNNNNNNNNNNNNNNNNNNNNNNNNNNNNNNNNNNNNNNNNNNNNNNNNNNNNNNNNNNNNNNNNNNNNNNNNNNNGCGUGUACAUCUCUCUCUCUCUCCCAUGCAUCUCUUCCUCUUCUAACCGGGAUGAGGAUGUAGAUGGCAGAUCGGCGAGUCACGGGAGCGAAGCGACAGCGACGGCUGCACGGGAUCUGUCGUGCGGCCGGGCUCGAUCUAUCGUAGCGGCAGCCCCCUCCUAUCCUAUCCCGCCCCAUCUGAAUCGGGGCGACCNNNNNNNNNNNNNNNNNNNNNNNNNNNNNNNNNNNNNNNNNNNNNNNNNNNNNNNNNNNNNNNNNNNNNNNNNNNNNNNCAAGACCUCAUCUCGCCGCGGCGAUGCCACCGACGGAGGGCGCGGCGGGGCUUGGGAUCUCGGAGUUCUUGAUUCUCCUCUCGUCCCGUAAGUGCAUCCUCUCCCUUGGCUUCGUCCUCUUUCUCCCCCUUUCUCUAACCUCUGUUCUUCCCUUUUCUGUAGAUGUGCAGACAACUUAAUGUACGCUCUCUAUCCCUGCUCUCUACAGGCAAAACCAAUCCAAAGUGACUUGUUUAUGGAAUUGGUGCAGGGGACGGCGCCUGGGAAGGUCUCUCUUGUGCUUUGUUUCAUUCAUGGGCGUGGAUGAUAUAGGGUUACUUAGAGUUCUGCUACUUUUGGGCUUAAUUGGCUCCAAUGUCUGUUGUUUAUGGAUGGUCUCUUCUCCCUGUGCAGCAGCAGCAGGAUGGAUUCGGCACUAAGCCGGCGUGAGCCACAAAUUUGCCAUGGUGAGCUACUCCAGAUCCUCUCCCUUACUUCGUAGCCACGGUUUCUUCGUGACCAUUAAGCAAUGUAUGGUCUUAGUUAGCAUUUUGCGGUGGUAAUUGAUUCACGGUGCGGUGUGGUGGGGUUGCACCUGCACGUUAAUUGUUUAAUGCAUGGGAGGAGAAAUAAAAUGAGUGUGCUUCCAUUGUCUUUGAUCUUUGAUUUUUAUAUAACCGUAUAUAUGCAUUAAAGGUAAGCAUAAUCCUAAAAAUAAUAUUUUUCUACCACGCAUGUGCAUAACAAACUUAUUUUCUAAUUCACGCAAGAAAGGAGCUAUUCACAAUGAUCAUGCUGUUGCCAAGACUAAGAGAACUAGUGUUAUAUCAGGUGAUGCCUUUUGCCACUUGAGAGAUCCAGCAUGGUAUUUUUACUUUUCUGCUCUUAAAAGAAUAGAAUAAAAAUAGAUACUGUUCCAAAUGCUCUUUCAAUUUUUUUCUGUAAGUUUCCUACAACGCAUUUGCAACAGUAUUGCUAAGAAUAAGAUGCAUCAGCUGACAUACUGACUACCAAGCAAGAGCUACACUAUUGUCAGACAUCAGUCCAUGAGCUAUACAGUUAUAUUCCCUUUGUUGGCUAUACACUUCUCUUGGUACGUCUAAACAUUCUGUCAAUUGGUCCUACAUUACGUUGGCUUCUCUAUAAACACAUUCUAUGCACGAAGAACAUAUCAUACUAUGCCCUAUCCCAUCGUAGUCCUAUCUCAUUCACAGUAGGAUCAUCACUCUACUUUUCUCUGUAAGAUUAAAUUGUUGGUCUUCAUAUACUUUUGUUAUAUAGAAUCACUCUCUUUUGUUUAUAGAUAUUAAUCUGUUCUGAACUACUGCAUAAGAUUACUUUGUUCUUGGAAUGCCAUUCUUUCCAAUGCCAUUAUGUUCUCUUUCGCAAUCAUUUUCUUUUUGGAGAUUCAGAUUUUCUUUGCACAAAUAAUGUUAGUUUCCAGUAGCACCAAAUUCAUUUUCCCAUGUCGGUGAGACCAAUUCCGUGAUGAAGGUCUCUCUUACCAUAUUUGCUAUUUACUAUAGUUUGUUUGAAUUCAGGGGAAAGGGGUAUGCAAGGAAUACACCAUCAUACAGCAUGCGCACUAAUUUAGAAUAGUGUAGGAAUGACUACUCAACUAGCUAGCGUUCCAAACUCCAAUUCCAUGUAGUGAUACCCAACAACACAACAAUUUGAAGUUUCUUUUUUCUAGAGAAAAAGGAACCCUACCCCGGCUCACAAAUCAUGACAGUUUCUUACAAUAACUGUAGAUGAAACUGAAUAAUCGAGAUCAUACCAUCUGGCAGUUUCUGCACCCGAAGAACAGGAUGGCACGGCCCAGUUCCACACCAGUCUCUUUUAAUGCUAAUCUUUCCUGCCAAUGGCAAAUGGAUUCUAUAUACAUAUUAGCACGCUAAAGAGUGAAAAUCUUGAAGAAUAUUGUGGGAGAAACAAGAAGGAAAAUACAAAAUGAACCUAUAAGAAGCCCCUAAAAGGUGCAAGGCCAGUCCCAGGGCCUACCAUUAUAAUAGGCGCUGUAGGAUCAGCAUGCAAUUUGAAGUUUGACUGCCUCACAAAAAUUGGAGCCCAACUACAUUCUUCGCUCUCUUCCGAUGGAGUUGAAUUCAUUGUUUAGCCAUGUAGGAUCAUCAGAACAAAGUGUUUACAAGAUGACAAGAUGGUCACUGGUAGAUAUUUCAAAUGAUUAAAAGACAACUUGGCUACAUAGUAAUUAUUAUUGUUUUAAAAUGAUUGCACUCACAUCUCAAAGUACAAAUAAUUGUGUGGCCACCUAUAUUCAUAGUCGAUGGUCACUAGCAGAUAUUUUAAAGAGAGUAGUGCAAGGUUACGUCACUGAAUGCAAUGAACUCUAUGAUAUCAUCCAUCAAAUUAAUUUACGCAGCCACACAGGGGAAGAUCACAUAAAAAAUGUUGAGAAUGAGUAAUAAAAGAUGAUUAGCUGUUCACCUAAACAUACAGAGAAAGGCCAGUAGACUGAACUAGAAAUUUCAGUCCAACAACAUUAAACAACAUUGUAACAAGCACAUAUGUUGAAGCAUAUACAACAUUGUUUCUUACCGCAUAAACUUAAUUUCCCCUCCUAUUGUUGACCUUCAGUGCUGAACCUAAAUAAGUUUUACAAUCUAUAGAUUAUAUAUAGUUACAAGCCAAAAAAGCUUCAAGAAGGUAUUUUACUGCAAUUCAGUAGGACAGUCACUACCAAUUUAGACUUUUAUACUUAGUAGAUUACAAGCCUAGGAGGCCCUUACGACGAAAACCUUUGCUGCAGUUCAUGCCCCAGUUACUUUUGGUGUAUUGAUUUGCCUUGCAAAAAACAUGAGAUCUCUAAUUUUACCCAUAUAUUACUUGAUCUGAGAGUAAUAACAUGAUCACAGUUUGUGGCUAUGUUUUCCUUUCUGGCAUGUUAUACUGUUUUAGUUCUGUACUAUGGUGCAUGAUACCUCCUCUUAGCUACAGAUCAAUAUGACCCAGAAGUAUGCUUGGGCCAUCUGAAAAAGUACACCUUCAAGGAGCUUCGAGCAUCUACCAACAAUUUCAACUCAGAAAGCGUAUUAGGUGAAGGUGGAUAUGGAAUAGUAUACAAGGGUUUCUUACGUGAUGGUUCAAUUGUUGAUGUUAAAAGGCUGAAAGACCACAACGCUGUUGGUGGGGAAGUUCAAUUUCAAACUGAAGUUGAAGUCAUAAGCUUAGCUGUUCAUCGGAAUUUCCUACGGCUCAUUGGAUUUUGCACUACGGAGUGUGAGAGAUUACUUGUUUAUCCUUAUAUGCCAAAUGGAAGUGUUGCUUCUUAGUUGCGUGGUCAGUAUUUUUCGCCAUGCCCUUAUGACACUUAAAUAAUUAGCAUUACUUGGGCAGAUUCAUUAGUGGCCGGUUUAAUUUUUGCUUCCCCUUGCCAUGCAUUACACUCAUUUUCAGAUUUACGAUCUAGCAUGGAUCCAUAUUGGCACAUUGCUCCAGUUAGCUCAGACUGCCACCAAAUGCUCAGCUUAAAAAAUAAACUGACACUUGUUAGCGUUCAGGAUAAGAGAUCCUCAACAUGUUCACUUAUAACAUGUCAUAUAGUUGCAUUGUCUUCUUUUAGUGAAAGUUAUACUACAAUCAUGGAAGUCUUAAUUAGGCUCAUAAAGACCUACAGACCUACCCUUGCCACAUAUCAUCCUGGGUAGCUUCAUCCUUCUGUCAUGCCAUGAAAGAAAGCUUGACUAUUAAUUUUAAUAAUACUCAUGCUCCUUGACUCCCUGUAUUUACUUAAGUGUCCAUUGACAUUUCACAGUACACCAAAUUUUGAAAUAUGAACUGAGCUAUCAACAUCACAUUUCUAGGUUUACUACUGAUGAAAUGAAUUAAUAAAAAAAAGAGGCAUCUUAUGAUAGCUUUCCAAGUAUAUUAUUCGGUUUGGAAGCAAACUGUGACCUCCUUCAGUCCACCUAAGCUUUCCUGGAUUUUUUUUCCAGAGCAUAUAAAUGGCAAGCCAGCUCUAGAUUGGUCGAGGAGAAAGAUGAUAGCACUGGGUACAUCACGAGGGCUGCUUUAUUUGCACGAACAGUGUGAUCCAAAAAUAAUCCAUCGUGAUGUAAAAACCUCCAUUGUGCUUCUUGAUGAAUAUUUUGAAGCAAUAGUCGGAGAUUUUGGAUUGGCGAAACUUUUGGAUCACCAGGAGACCUAUGUUACCACGGCAGUGCGUGGCACCGUGGGACACAUAGCUCCAGAGUAUUUGUCAACUGGCCAGUCAUCAGAGAAGACAAAUGUGUUUGGGUUUGGAGUCCUGUUGGUUGAGUUGAUCACUGGCCAAAAAGCAUUGGAUUUUGGAAGACUAUCAAAUCAGAAGGGCGGAGUGCUUGAUCUGGUAAGCAUGUUAUAUCAUGCUCUUUUCGUGCAUUGGUAUCAAGUUCACCUUAUUACUUUAUGUGAAAAGAUCGCUUUCUCCUUCUGGACUUUUUUUGGUUCUGGCCUUUAGUUUAGUGUCUUCAGAGCUUUUCGACAACUCUGUUUGCCACUUUUAGGUCCUGUCUCACCUUUUACAUUGAGUACACUCAAUGGUAAGAUUUUAUACUCGAGAUACUGGAGCAUAUUUCAUAGUUAAAAACAGGUAAGUUGGAAAAAUAUGCUCUAUGAUACCAAAGACAACUUAAACUAUUCACCAUUGCGAUGUCCUGCUUGAAAAUCAUUUUAUGACCAGAAGAAGGCAUUGGAAAUUAAGAAUGAUCACAAUUAUUUCCCUUUUUUUGAGAAAAUGAUGCCAUCCCUAUUAAUUUUCUACCUUUGUACACCAAUACAAGACAUUGAACUACAAAGACGCCUUACAAUAGUUCGCAGAUGGAGCAGGUUAUAUUUAUUUCUGUUAAUCCUUUAUCAUAGUUUGGGCAUAUUAACUAAUUGACCAUCAGUUACCAUCUUCUGUUCAAAGUUCAGUAUAUGAUCUUUGUAUUGGCACGAUCAUUGUUUCUCAUUCUUGCAUGUGAUGGUUCCAGGUAAAGAAGCUCCAUCAGGAAAAGCAGCUGAACAUGAUGGUGGACAAGGACCUCGGCAGAAACUACGACAGGGUGGAGCUGGAGGAGAUGGUGCAGGUGGCUUUGCUGUGCACGCAGUACUACCCGUGUUGGGGAACGUCGCAUGGGAAACAAAAAUUUUCCUACGCGCACGAANNNNNNNNNNNNNNNNNNNNNNNNNNNNNNNNNNNNNNNNNNNNNNNNNNNNNNNNNNNNNNNNNNNNNNGAUGGUGCUCCGGAGGUUGGCGAUGACCUUGUCUCAGCAGGGCUCCGCCCGAGCUCCGCAGAAACGCGANNNNNNNNNNCCGCGUUCAGCACACGUACAGCUCGACGAUGAUCUCAGCCUUCUUGAUCCAGCAAGAGAGACGGAGAGGUAGAAGAGUUCUCCGGCAGCGUUACGGUGCUCCGGAGGUUGGUGAUGAUCUCGUCUCGGCAGGGCUCCGCCCGAGCUCCGCAGAAACGCGAUCUAGAGGUAAAACCGUGGAGAUAUGUGGUCGGGCUGCCGUGGAAAAAGUUGUCUCAAAUCAGCCCUAAUACCUCAGUAUAUAUAGGAGGGAGGGGNNNNNNNNNNAGUGACGGCGCUCCGGGGGUUGGUGAUGACCUUGUCUCAGCAGGGCUCCGCCCGAGCUCCGCAGAAACGCGANNNNNNNNNNNNNNNNNNNNNNNNNNNNNNNNNNNNNNNNNNNNNNNNNNNNNNNNNNNNNNNNNNNNNNNNNNNNNNNNNNNNNNNNNNNNNNNNNNNNCCACGUCUUGCUCGUGAGAGAAGUUUUAGUCAACGGUUCUGAAACUUUCAGAUCCGUGUGUUCUUUACAAAUCUUUAUGUCAUCUUAUAGAUGCUGCUACUAUGUGCUAUUCGGAAAUACUCCAAAUAUCUACUCGACUAUACGAAUCUGUUUCACUACUCAUAGUUAUUCGGAUUAGUGUCAAAGCUUGCAUCGACGUAACCCUUUACGACGAACUCUUUAAGCACCUCCAUAAUCGAGAAAAAUUCCUUAGUCUAUUUAGUUACUAAGGAUAACUUUGACCGCUGAUGAGUGAUUCAAUCCUGGAUCACUCUGUGUACCUCUUAACAGACUUGCUGCAAGGCACACAUCAGGUGCGGUACUCAGCACGACAUACUUUAGAGUCUACGGCUAAGGCAUAGAAGACGACCUUCGUCUAUUCUCUUUAUUCUGCCGUGGUCGGGUUUUGAGUCUUACUCAAAUUCACACCUCACAACGCAACCAAGAACUCCUUCUUUGCUGAUCUAUUUUGAACUCCUUCAAAACUUGUCAAGGCAUGCAUUUUAUUGAAACUUCUAUUAAGCGUUUUGAUCUAUCUCCAUAGAUCUUGAUGCUCAAUGUUUCAAGUAGCUCAAUCCUGGUAUUCCUUUGAAAACUCCUUGUAUGCUUUACAGAAAUUCUACAUUACUUCUGAUCCACAAUAUGNNNNNNNNNNACUCACUUCUUUGGAAAUACAAGUUUCUCAUAAACCUUGUACAAACCCAAAAUCUUUGAUCAUCUCAUCAAAGUGUAUAUUCCAACUCCGAGAUGCUUGCACCAGUCCAUUGAAGGAUCACUGGAGCUUGCAUACUUGCUAGUAUCUUUAGGAUCGACAAAACCUUCUGGUUGUAUCACAUACAAUGUUUGCUCAAGGAAACCGUCGAGAAAACAAUGUUUUGACAUCCUACGUGCAACAUUUCAUAAAUAAUGCAUCNNNNNNNNNNAUAUAUAUUCCAACUCCGAGAUGCUUGCACCAGUCCAUUGAAGGAUCGCUGGAGCUUGCAUACUUGCUAGUAUCUUUAGGAUCGACAAAACCUCCUGGUUGUAUAACAUACAAUGUUUGCUCAAGGAAACCGUCGAGGAAACAAUGUUUUGACAUCCUACGUGCAAUAUUUCAUAAAUAAUGCAUCAACAACUAACAUAAUUCUAACAGACUUUUAGCAUCGCUAGGAGUGAGAAAGUCUCAUCAUAGUCAACUGUUUGAUCUUAUCGAAAACAUCUUUGCGACAAGUCGAGCUUUUCUUAAUAGUGACUUAUNNNNNNNNNNCUUUAGCAUCGCUACGAGUGAGAAAGUCUCAUCAUAGUCAACUGUUGAUCUUGUCGAAAACAUCUUUGCGACAAGUCGAGCUUUUCUUAAUAGUGACUUAUCACCAUCAUCGUCUGUCUUCUUUUAAAGACCCAUUUCUACUUAAUAGUCCUAUGACCAUCAAGUAAUUCUUCCAAAGUCUACACUUUGUUUUCAUACAUGGAUCCUCUCUCGGAUUUCAUGGCUUCCAGCCAUUUGUCGGAAUCUGGGCCCACCAUCCCUUUCUCCAUAAUUCGUAGGUUCACUGUUGCUCAACAACAUGACAUCCAAGACAGGGUUACCGUACUACUCUACAGCAGUACGCGACCUUGUCGACAUACGAGGUUUGUAGUAACUUGAUUCGAAGCUCAAUGAUCACCAUCAUCAGCUUCCACUUCAAUUGGUGUAGGCGCCACAGGAACAACUUCCUGCGCCCUGCUACACACUGGUUGAAGUGAUNNNNNNNNNNUCCAUUUUUACUCAAUAGUCCUAUGACCAUCAAGUAGUUCUACCAAAGUCUACACUUUGUUUUCACACAUGGAUCCUCUCUCGGAUUUCAUGGCUUCCAGCCAUUUGUCGGAAUCUGGGCCCACCAUCCCUUUCUCCAUAACUCGUAGGUUCACUGUUGCUCAACAACAUGACCUCCAAGACAGGGUUAAUGCACCACUCUGUAGCAGUACGCGACCUUGUCCACCUACGAGGUUUGUAGUAACUUGAUUCGAAGCUCAAUGAUCAUCAUCAUCAGUUUCCACUUCAUAUGAACAACUUCAUGCGCCCUGCUACACACUGGUUGAAGUGAUGGUUCAAUAACCUCAUCANNNNNNNNNNUGGUUACCGUACCACUCUGUAGUAGUACGCGACCUUGUCAACCUACGAGGCUUGUAGUAACUUGAUCCGAUGCUUGAUGAUCACCAUCAUCAGCUUCCACUUCAAUUGGUGUAGGUGCCACAGGAACAACUUCCUGCGCCCUGCUACACACUGGUUGAAGUGAUGGUUCAAUAACCUCAUCAAGUUCAACCACUCUCCCACUCAAUUCUUUCGAGAGAAACCUUUCCUCGAGAAAGGAUCCGUUUCUAGAAACAAACACUUUGCUUUCGGAUCUGAGAUAGGAGAUGUACCCAAUUGUUUUGGAUAUCCUAUGAAGAUGCAUUUAUCCGCUUUGGGUUCGAGCUUAUCAGACUGAAACUUUUUUCACAUAAGUGUCGAAACCCCAAACUUUCAAGAAACGACAGUUUAGAUUUCUCUAAACCUCAGUCUAUACUGUGUCAUCUCAACGGAAAUACGCGGUGCCCUAUUUAAAGUGAAUGCGGUUGUCUCUAAUGCAUAACCCAUAAACGAUAGUGGUAAUUCGAUAAGAGACAUCAUAGCAUGCACCAUACCAAAUAGUGCAUGGCUAUAAUGUUCAGACACAUCAUCACACUAUGAUGUUCCAGGUGGCAUGAACUGCGAAACAAUUUCCACAUUGUCUUAACUGCAUACCAAAACUCGUAACUCAGAUAUUCAUUUCUAUGAUCAUAUCGUAGACAGAUUAUCCUCUUGUUAUGACGAACUUCACUCUGAAACAGAAUUGAACUUUUCAAUAUUUCAGACUUGUGAUUCAUUAAGAAAUACUCCUGUAUCUACUCAAAUCGUCAGUGAAGUAAGAACAUAAUGNNNNNNNNNNCAUCCUCUUGUUACGACGAACUUCACUCCGAAACAGAAUUGAACUUUUCAACAUUUCAGACUUGUGAUUCAUUAAGUAAAUACUCCUGUAUCUACUCAAAUCUUCAGUGAAGUAAGAACAUAAUGAUAUCCACUACGUGCCUCAGCACCCAUUGGACUGCAUACAUCAAAAUGUAUCACUUCCAACAAGUUACUNNNNNNNNNNNNNNNNNNNNNNNNNNNNNNNNNNNNNNNNNNNAUGCAUGUCAUUAGUGAUUCGAAAUCAGGUGAGUACAAAGAUCCAUCAACAUGGAGCCUCUUCAUGCAAUUUAUAUUAACAUGGCUCAAGCGGCAGUGCCACAAGUAAGUGGUACUAUCAUCAUUAACUCGUAUCUUUUGGCACCAAUGUGUAACACUACAAUCGAGAUUCAAUAAACCAUUGAAGGUGAUUAUUCAAGCAAAUAGAGUAACCAUUAUUCUAUUUGAAUGAAUAAUCGUAUUGCAAUAAAUACGAUCCAAUCAUGUUCAUGCUUAACGCAAGCACCAAAUAACAAUUAUUUAGGUUUAACACCAAUCCCGAUGGUAGAGGGAGCGUGCGACGUUUGAUCAUAUCAACCUUGGAAACACUUCCAACACGUAUCGUCACCUCGCCUUUAGCUAGUCUCCGUUUAUGCUGUAGCUUACAUUUCGUGUUACUAAUCACUUAGCAACCGAACCGGUAUCCAAUACCCUCGUGCUACUAGGAGUACUAGUAAAGUACACAUCAACAUCAUGUAUAUCAAAUACACUUCUUUCGACUUUUGCCAGCCUUCUUAUCUACCAAGUAUCUAGAGUUGCUCCGCCUCAGUGACUGUUCCCCUUAUUACAGAAGCACUUAGUCUCGGGUUUGGGUUUAAUCUUGGGUCUCUUCAUUAGCGCAGCAACUGUUUUGCCGUUUCACGAAGUAUCCCUUCUAGCCCUCGCCUUUCUUGAAACUUAGUGGUUUUUCAAACCAUCAACUAUUGAUGCUCCUUCUUGAUUUCUACUUUCGCAGUGUUAAACAUCGCGAAUCGCUCAAGGAUCAUUGUAUGUAUCCUUGAUAUGUUAUAGUUCAUCACGAAGCUCUCACAGCUUGGUGGCAAUGACUUUGGAGAAGUAUCACUAUCUCAUCUGAAAGAUUAACUCCCACUUGAUUCAAGCGAUUGUCGUACUCAGACAAUCUGAGCACAUGCUCAACGAUUGAGCCUUUCUCCUUUACCUUGUGGACAAAGAAUCUUGUCGGAGGUCUCGUACCUCUUAACAAGGGCACAAGCAUGAAAUCACAAUUUCAUCUCUUUAGAACAUCACUUAUGUUCCGUGACGUUUUACAACGUUUUCGGCGCCUUGCUUCUAAGCCAUUAAGUAUUUUUGUACUGAACUAUCGUGUAGUCAUAAGAAACGUGUAUGUCGGAUGUUCACAGCAUCCACAGAUGACGCUCGAGGUGCAGCACACCGAGUGGUGCAUUAAGGACAUAAGCCUUCNNNNNNNNNNNNNNNNNNNNNNNNNNNNCAGCAUCCACAGACGAUGCUCGAGGUGCAGCACACCGAGUGUUGCAUUAAGGACAUAAGCCUUCUGCGCAGCAACGAGGACAAUCCUCGAUUUUACAGACUCAGUCUGCAAAGUUNNNNNNNNNNUAGCAUCCACAGACGUCGCUCGAGGUGCAGCACACCGAGUGGUGCAUUAAGGACAUAAGCCUUCUGCGUAGCAACGAGGACAAUCCUCGGUUUUACAGACUCAGUCUGCAAAGUUUGCUACUAUCAAUUUUCAACUAAAUUUUCUCUAGGAACAUAUGAAAAACAGUAGAGCUAUAGCGCAAGCUACAUCGUAAUUCGCAAAGACCNNNNNNNNNNUGCUACUAUCAACUUUCAACUAAAUUUUCUCUAGGAACAUAUAAAAACAGUAGAGCUAUAGCGCAAGCUACAUCGUAAUUCGCAAAGACCAUUAGACUAUGUUCAUGACAAUUAGUCCAAUUAAUCAUAUUACUUAAGAACUCCCACUCAAAAAGUACAUCUCUCUAGUCAUUUGAGUGGUACAUGAUCCAAAUCCACUAUCUCAAGUCCGAUCAUCACGUGAGUCGAGAAUAGUUUCAGUGGUAAGCAUCUCUAUGCUAAUCAUAUCAACUAUACGAUUCAUGCUCGACCUUUCGGUCUCAUGUGUUCCGAGGCCAUGUCUGCACAUGCUAGGCUCGUCAAGCUUAACCCGAGUGUUCCGCGUGCGCAACUGUUUUGCACCCGUUGUAUGUGAACGUUGAGUCUAUCACACCCGNNNNNNNNNNNNNNNNNNNNNNNNNNNNNNNNNNNNNNNNNNNNNNNNNNNNNNNNNNNNNNNNNNNNNNNNNNNNNNNNNNNNNNNNNNNNNNNNNNNNACACCCGAUCAUCACGUGGUGUCUCGAAACGAAGAACUGUCGCAACGGUGCACAGUCGGGGAGAACACAAUUUCGUCUUGAAAUUUUAGUGAGAGAUCACCUCAUAAUGCUACCGUCGUUCUAAGCAAGAUAAGGUGCAUAAAGGAUUAACAUCACAUGCAAUUCAUAAGUGACAUGAUAUGGCCAUCAUCACGUGCUUCUUGAUCUCCAUCACCAAAGCACCGACACGAUCUUCUUGUCACCGGCGUCACAGCAUGAUCUCCAUCAUCAUGAUCUCCAUCAACGUGUCGCCAUCGGGGUUNNNNNNNNNNUCACACCAUGAUCUCCAUCAUCAUGAUCUCCAUCAACGUGUCGCCAUCGGGGUUGUCGUGCUACUCAUGCUAUUACUACUAAAGCUAUGUCCUAGCAAAAUAGUAAACGCAUCUGCAAGCACAAACGUUAGUUAUAAAGACAACCCUAUGGCUCCUGCCGGUUGCCGUACCAUCGACGUGCAAGUCGAUAUUAUCUAUUACAACAUGAUCAUCUCAUACAUCCAAUAUAUCACAUCACAUCGUUGGCCAUAUCACAUCACAAGCAUACCCUGCAAAAACAAGUUAGACGUCGUCUAAUUUUGUUGUUGCAUGUUUUACGUGGUGACCAUGGGUAUCUAGUAGGAUCGCAUCUUACUUACGCAAACACCACAACGGAGAUAUAUGAGUUGCNNNNNNNNNNNNNNNNNNNNNNNNNNNNNNNNNNNNNNNNNNNNNNNNNNNNNNNNNNNNNNNNNNNNNNNNNNNNNNNNNNNNNNNNNNNNNNNNNNNNUAUAUAGGGGGGGAGGGGGUGCUCGGGAGGGAAAGAAUCGGGAGAUCGGGCGUAAUCUGGUGGUGCUCCGGUGAGAUCCCCUGCAAAGGAAAGAAGGGAGGGAGGAAGAAGGAAGGUGACCGGCAGGGGUAUCGGGUCGGGCGUGGGGGCCACGGCCAGAGAGAGAGAGAGAGAGGCGAGGGCGCAAGGAUCGGGCGGGCGAUCCGAACUGGAUUCGGAUCCGGAGGGGUGGGGUUCGGCCCACAGGCCUAUCUGGCGCCGGUGCGAAGAGAAAGAAAAAAAAUAUAUUUCCUUUUCUAUUUUAUUUUAAAACAAAAAGUAAAUCAAAGAAAAAGGCAAGUAAAUAAAACCUAAAAAUAGUGAUAUUAUAUAUCAAAAUUUUCAGAAAAAAAAAAUCUCUACACGUUUAACAUGUUUCCUAGGCCAAAAUAAAAACUAAAAAAAAUGUUUUUUCAGAAAAACCCUAAAAGCUUUAUUUUCUUUUGCAAAUAUUUUCACAAUAAAACUUUGGUUUUCUUGGCUCAAAAUAUUUGAGAAAUGCCUCACAUUUUGGAGGGUCAUUUUCCUCCGCUCUUUCUUGCUUGCAAGAAUUAUUUUCGGGGUAUUUCUCGGGUGAAGAAAAAAUAGAAAUGCAAAAGCAAAAAUCGAAAGAAUUCAAAUGCAAACCUUAUUUCAAUCAAUAUGCAUAGAUGCUUAGCUACAUUGUAAAACAUUCCAAAUUAGGAAAUUUGGGAUGUUACANNNNNNNNNNNNNNNNNNNNNNNNNNNNNNNNNNNNNNNNNNNNNNNNNNNNNNNNNNNNNNNNNNNNNNNNNNNNNNNNNNNNNNNNNNNNNNNNNNNNGGGAGAGGAUCAUCUGGUCUUCAAACACCCUAAAGUGCGAGGACAAACUCAAAGGCGGUCAAAUCUUGUGGGGAACGUGUGCAAAACUCUGCAGAGUACUCAAACCUAAUCGAUUAGCCGUGUCCACGGUCAUGGACAACUUGAGCCAAAGGAACUGAAGUUAUCGGGAAUUCUCAACACAAAUAAAAAAAUUGAUGUGGGUAUUAUUGACAACUUGGGUACGAGAAUUGGUUGGUGGAACCAUCUCGUUAACAACCAACAAUGUAGUAAUAUUUUGCUUUUAGCCUUCUCUUGUUGUAGGAGAAAACUUUGCUUUCCGCUAAAAACUUAUAAACCCCACCUGCCAUAUAUGCAUAUAGUAUAGAUGAUUACUUUUCACCCCUCUCUUAUGUGACUUGCCAGCAUAUUCAAUAUGCUGACCUACACGGCUGCAACGUCUUAUGUUGCAGAUAUUUUCUUCGACGAGUAAGAGUACGAUUCAGGGUUACGGUCUACACUCAACUUGUCGUUCGUGUUUACUGGGACUCCACUCCCUUUGACUGUUUCCGUUGAGAUUUUAAGGUAUAUAUAUAUAUAUAUCAGUUUUACGUUAUUUACAUGUGAUUGCACUUUGAAAUAUACAUUGAUGUACUCUGUGUGCCAGCAUACUGAUCCAGGGAUGGCAUAGAUACACAGAGGCUUGACUCGUUUUGAGUCGGGUCGCUACAACAAGUUUCUCAUAAACCUUGUACAAACACAAAAGCUUUGAUCAUCUCAUCGAAGCGUAUAUUCCAACUCCAAGAUGCUUGCACCAGUCCAUAGAAGGAUUGAUGGAGCUUGCAUACUUGUUAGCAUCCUUAGGGUUGACAAAAACUUCUCGGUGUAUGCUACUUCUCAAACAAUAGCGCCAGAAAUUGACACUUUGAUGGAGACUUGCUUGCAUUGGUUUUUCCCUUGAAGAGGAAAGGGUGAUGCAGCACAGGAGCAGUAAGUAUUUCCCUCAGUUUGAGAACCAAGGUAUCAAUCCAGUAGGAGAAUCUCAUCAAGUCCAGAGUACCUGCGCAAACACAAAAGAGCUUGCACCCAACGCUAUAAAGGGGUUUUCAAUCCCUUCAAGAUUGAUUGCAAAGUGAGAUCUGAAGGAGGAAAGUGCAACGAAGUAAAAGUGUAAGGCUGAAAAUAUGGUGUGGAGUAGACCCGGGGGCCAUAGUGUUCACUAGAGGCUUCUCUCAAAAUAGCAAAUACUACGGUGGGUGAACAAAUUACUGUCGAGCAAUUGAUAGAACCGCGCAAAGUCAUGACGAUAUCUAAGGCAAUGAUCAUACAUAUAGGCAUCACGUCAGAGACAAGUAGACCGAUACUUUCUGCAUCUGCUACUAUUACUCCACACAUCGACCGCUAUCCAGCAUGCAUCUAGUGUAUUGAGUUCAUGACGAACAGAGUAACGCCUUAAGCAAGAUGACAUGAUGUAGAGGGAUAAUCUCAAACCAAUGAUGAAAACCCUAUCUUUUUACCCUUGAUGGCAACAACAGAAUGCUUGCCUCGCUACCCCUUCUUUCACUGGGUGAGGUCAUCGCACGGUAUGAACCCAAAACCAAGCACUUCUCCCAUUGCAAGAAUCAUAGAUCUAGUUGGUCAAACAAAACCCACAACCCGAAGAGAAUUACAAGGAUAUGAAAUCAUGCAUAAGAGAUAUCAGAAGAAACUCAAAUAAGAUAUAUAGAUAAUCUGAUCAUAAAUCCACAAUUCAUCGGAUCUCGACAAACACACCGCAAAAGAAGAUUGCAUCGGAUAGAUCUCCAUGAAGAUCAUGGAGAACUUUGUAUUGAAGAUCCAAGAGAGAGAAGAAGCCAUCUAGCUACUAGCUAUGGACCCGUAGGUCUAUGGUGAAAUACUCACGCAUCAUCGGAGAGGUCAUGGUGUUGAUGAAGAAGCCCUCCGUAUCCGAAUCCCCCCUCCGGCAGGGCACCGGAACGUGCCCCAGAUGGGAUCUUGCGGAGACAGAAGCUUAGGCGGCGGAAAAGUACUUUCGAUGAUCUCCUGAUUUUUUCUGGAAUUUAUGGGAAUAUAUAGGAGAAAGACCUAGGGAGAGGUGGCCCAGGGAGCCCACAAGCCUGCGAGGCGCGGCCCCCCUGGCCACGGCUAGGGGGCUUGUGGGGUCCGUGGUGGCCCCCUGCCCUAGUUCUCAGACUCCCCGGUCUUCUUCUCUUUCGGAAAAAAUCUUUUUGGAAGUUUUGUUCCGUUUGGACUCCGUUUAAAAUCUUCCUCUGAAAAGGUUCAAAAACACGGAAAAAACAGGAACUGGCACUUGGCACUGAGUUAAUAAGUUAGUCCCAAAAAAUAUAUAAAAGGCAUACAAAACAUCCAAAGUUUGGCAAUGUAAUAGCAUGGAACCAUCAAAAAUUAUAGAUACGUUGGAGACGUAUCAAGCAUCCCCAAGCUUAACUCCUGCUCGUCCUCUAGUAGGGAAGUGAUAAAGACUGAAUUUUUGAUCUGGAAUGCUACCUAGCAUAGUUGUCCUUUGCAAUUUAUUUCGUGUGACAUGAAUGUUCAAAUCCGUAAGAUUCAAAACAAUAGUUUGCUAUUGACAUGAAAACAAUAAUACUUCAAGAAAACUAGCAAGGUAAUCAUGAACUUUCAAAAUAACAAGGCCAAGGAAAGUUAUCCCUACAAAAUCAUAUAGUCUGGCUAUGCUCCAUCAUCCUCACACAACUAAUGUAAAUCAUGCACAACCACGGUAUUGGCCAAGUAAUUGUUUUCGCACUCUUACUUUCUCAAACUUUUUAUAACUAUCACGCAAUACAUGAGCGUGAGCCAUGGAUAUGCACUAUACGUGGAAUAGAGUGUGGUGGAGGUUGUGAGACAAAAAAGGAGGAGAUGGUCACAUUGACUCGGUGUAUCAAAGGGCUAUGGAGAUGCGCAUUAAUAGAUAUCAAUGUGAAUGAGUAGGGAUUGCCAUACAAAGGAUGCACUAGAGCUAUAAGUAUGUGAAAGCUCAAAAGGAGAACUAGUGGGUGUGCAUUCAACUUGCUUGCUCACGAAGACCUAGGGCAAUUUUGAGGAAGCCCGUCAUUGGAAUAUACAAGCCAAGUUAUAUGAUAAAGAUUCCCACUAGCAUGUGGUAUUGAUGCAACGAGAGGCUCUCAAUCAUGAAGAACAUGGUGCUAUUAUGAAGCACAAGUGUGGAAAAAGAUAGUAGCCUUGUCCCUUCUCUCUUUUUCUCUCUUUUUUUUUAUUUUUUUAUUUGGGCUCUUAGGCCUCUCUUUUUUUAUUUCCUCACAUGGGAAAAUGCUCUAAUAAUGAUGAUCAUCACACUUUUAUUUACUCACAGCUCAAAGCUUAGAACGAUGAUGACUCUAUAGGAAAUGCCUCCGGCAGUGUACCGGGAUGUGCAACGAUCUAGCUUGGUGUAUGAUGUUGAAACAUCUCGCUAGCUAUCUUACGAUCAUGCAAUGGCAAUAUGAGAGUGACGGCACAAGUCAUGAGACGGAACGGUGGGAUUUGCAUGGCAAUAUAUCUCGGAAUGGCUAUGAAAAUGCCAUAGUAGGUUGGUAUGGUGGCUGUUUUGAGGAAGGCAUAUGGUGGGUUUGUGCACCGGCGAAAAUUGCACGGCACUAGAGAGGUUUGCAAUGGUGGAAGGUGAAAGUGCAUCUAUACCAUGGACUCACAUUAGUCAUGAAGAACUCACAUACUUGUUGCAUAAAUUUUUAUUAGUAAUCGAAACAAAGUGCUAAAUGCAUACUCCUAGGGGAAGGGUUGGUAGGUGUUAACCGUCGCGCGAUCCCGACCUCAACACAAAGGAUGACAAUCAAUAGAUCAAUUAUGCUCUGACUUCCUAACAUAGAGGUUCACCAUACGUGCAUGCUACGGGAAUCACUAACUUCAACACAAGUAUUUCUAGAUUCACAACACCCUACUGACAUAGCUCUUAAUAGUACCAAAUCCAUGUCUCAAAACUAAUUGAGAGGAAUCAAGACUUCUCUUUCUACUCAAUGCACAUGAAGAUGGAGAUUUUUUUAUCCUCUUUGGGUACCUAUCACCUUUGGGACUACUUUUAUAGCAUAAGCCAAUUACCAAGUCACGCACGGCCGUGCUCUAAAAGACCUAAGUGAAGCACAUAGAGCAAAAUUAUCUAGCUCAACAGGAUAUAAGUGAAGCACGAUGAGCAUUCUAGCAAAAUCACGAUGCGUGCAUGUCUCCCUCUAAAGAUGUGCAGCAAGGAUGAUUGUGACACAACAAAAAGAAAAGAAUCCUAAGAUACAAGACGCUCCAAGCAAAACACAUAUCAUGUGGUGAAUAAAAAUAUAGCUCCAAGUAAUGUUACCGAUGGAUUGAAGACGAAAGAGGGGAUGCCUUCCCGGGGCAUCCCCAAGCUUAGGCUUUUUGGUGUCCUUGAAUUUGGCUUGGGAUGCCUUGGGCAUUCCCACGCUUGAGCUAUUUCCACUCCUUGUCUCUUUGUCCAUGAGAACAUCACCCAAAACUUGAAAACUUCACAACACAAAACUUAAACAGAAAUUUGUGAUAACAUUAGCACAAGAAAACAAACUACCACCACUUUAGGUACUGUAGAAAUCUUGAUUUCUAUUUAUAUUGGUGUUGGGCUACUGUAUUCUCACUUUUCCAUGGCUAGUACUGUAAUGCCCCAAGAGUAUACCUUUCCCUUUUUGGAACCUGGCCUAUGUGGGUCCAACUUGUCUUUGAUAUGAGAGAGUUCUAUGCAUAUGAUUUCAUGUGAUGUCACCUUGUUAUUUCUCCCUUUGCAUGCAUGCAUUUCAUAUCACUCCAUGUGGUAUGUGUGAUGCCUUGUGAUCGUAUGUGUUUGUGUGAUCCAUGGUGGUGUGGUGAUGUGAUGGGUUAGCUUGUGUGGAGUAUGCAUGUGUUAGUAGGAAUCACCUUGUGAUUUGCAUAGGUUUCAAAACCAUCUUCCCCCCUCUCUAUUCCAUCUUAAUGUCAAGUUUCACUUGAUCCUUUUCUGUUUUAAAAAUGUCCCUGAUUUAGCUUAUGUUUGUGGUGAAUUUGUGAUGUGAUAUUGCUCUUUUGAAUGGGUGUGCAAAUGGUGCAAAUAGAUACAAAACAGACUCCAAUAAAUUUGUUUUGUAAAUAUUUAGUUGCUCCAAAUAUCCAUUUUACAAUUGAUUCAAUUAGGGCAUAAUUUCUUAUGUCCAGGGGUGUGCUUGUUUUAUUUUUAGUAUCUAUAGUUUAGGCUAUGCUUUUAUUUGUUUCCCUAAUGUUGCUAGUAAUGGAAAAAACCCAGGAGUUAUUUCUUCUUAUGUGGCGCCUCAGGUGGGCUUCCUCCCCCCUGAGCGGCCCAGUUCUCCUCUCCCCGCAAUAGAGCCCAGCUGCACGACCGCCUUCCUCCUCCUGACGUCGUCUGCUACCGUGCCUCCUUUCCGUUUGAGCUUCAGAGAGAGAGAGCGUGUCGCCGUGAGGAACACAGACGUCGAGGCCCUCCCCAUAAAGCGUGGGCGUCCAUGCCCCCUCUUCCCUAGGGUUCCUCAUCUCCCCGUCCGCCGCCGCCACCUCUCUCCAUCUCCCUCCUUCCUUCCUUCCCCCUCUGGUAAGUCUAUACGGAUCGAAACAGAGAGAGAAGAGAAGAGAAGUGAUCGCCGGCGUCUACCCCUGCUCCCGUUGUCAUCCGGCGCCGCCACCAUGUCCAGGGGCUCGGGGAUGCACCCCGUGCUCCAUUCCCGUCGUCGCUGAGGUCGAGGAGCGACCUCAUCGAUGGGCAGGAGCUCGCCAUCGACUCGGACCUGGAGUUCUUUGUCCUCUCCUUUGAUCUGCUGUAGGCCCUCUUCUUCAGUACAACUACCUCCUCUCAAGCCGGCCUCCUCCUCCGAUCGGCGCCCCCUCUUCCUUCCCUAGGUGAGCUAGUGCUCCUCCCUCCUUCCCCUCGAGUAGAUCAGGCUGAGAUCAUCGGCACACCUCUGUCCCGAGAGGAUAUCUCGCAUGCAUGUGUGUGUUUUGUGUUGUGUGUGCUCGGUAGACGUGGGUGCAGAGCAGGGGCUUUCUCCCCCUCGUAGUAGCAGCGUCGUAGCGUGAUGGUUCUUCCCGAGGCGCAGCAGCAGUAGCAGUGCAGCUCCGGCGGCCUCUCUGUCACCGGCAACUCUCUGUAGGCAGAGCAGGGCAUGCCUGCAGGUUACCUUGUAGGCUGUCCCCUCUCUGUCAGAUCCCGAAGUGUAGCGUGGUGCUAGAUGCAGUGCGUUGAUGUAGUUCUGGUCGUGGGUUCGAUUCCCCCUCGAACCCUUUUUUGCUAUUAUUUCGGCCAGUGGCAGUUACAGUAGAAGCAGAGCAGGUUAACCUGCUUAGCCCCCCCCCCCAUCUCUGUCGAGCAAAAGACAGUAGCCCAGUGGUAUGUUGCAUAGUUGUGAUCCAGGGGGUGCAGGGUUCGAUUCCUGCCCCCUCCUUUUAUUUUUUCCUUUUGCAUUUUGUGCUAUAGACCUUUGGCUUGUUGUAGAUGAUGUUGUGGUGUGCUUUACACCAUUAGGGUAUUUUUCCUCCUCUCAAAACAGCAUGUGGUGCUUGGUGUUUUUGUAGUUGUAAAUACAUGAUGGUGUAGGCUUGUGUGGGUGUGUAGGAUUACUUGGUAUUGUGAGCAUGUGUGUAGAUAUGUUCUUGGUAGCUAUGCAUGUGUAGAUGGAUUUGCAUGUAUGCAUGUGUAGAUUCAUGUGUGUGAGUGCACCUUGUGGGUGUAUGGCACUAAGGUGGUGUUUCCUUGUAGUGCAAGUGCUUGUUAUGUGUGAGUGUGUGUGUCCAUGUGCAUGGUAAUGGACUCAUGCCCAUGGGGUGAUGUGAGUGUGUGUGUGCUCAUGUGUGUGUGUCUCAACCAUGUCAUGGCAAGAUAUGACUUGAUGAGCACAUGUGCAAGAUGACAUGUGUAGGGUAGAAGUGCUUAUGUGAGUGCUAUGUAGGAGUUAAUUCUAUCUAGCAUGUGUAGGUGUUGUUUUGCUAGUGCUAGUGUUAAUUGUGUGGGAAUGGUGAUGUGCUAUGGCACACAUGCAUGGGGUCUAAACCCUCAUGCCACCGUUGGUCUUGUAAGAGUGUGCAAUAGCUUAUGUAGGUGUAGAUCUAGUGAAUAGCACAUGUGAUGAUGCAAUAUUCACUAUAUGUGAUUCUAUGUAGAUUUUCUUUUCUAGUUUGUGCUCAUUUGUUCCAAGCAAGUGCAUAGGUAUUUUAUAUGUUUUUGGGGUAUAAUCAUCCCAGGAAUCCAUUGGUGAAGUCAGUUUUGCCAUUGCAACAAUUUCUGGAGAUGACUUAUUUCAGUUGUGUUCUAUGUUUAGAGCUUGGUUCCAUGAGAUGUGGUGAGCCCAAGAGGUAGAUUCCUUGUUGGGGCAUUAGAGGGUGACCCCCUCUAAGGCAUGUUGGUUUUGUUUCAUGUUUAGGAAUUCAUAUGUGCAAGUUGUGCCCAAUCGAAGUAGGCAUGUGGCUGAAAUUCCAGAUUAGUGAAAAUAUGAGAUUUUCACUAAGUCUGAGAAUCUGUUUAUAUUUUCUUCUCCUAUUGAUGAGCUUGUGCAGGUCCAUGUGUUUUGAUUCAGCCUUAGCUUUCAACUGGGAAGUUGUAGCUUUUGUGUUUGUCUAGCUCUCUGUAAAUUUUCAUUCCAUUUGGAGUCCUGUAGAUAUUGUUUUGGGUGCUGUCAAAAUGCUUCAGAGCAUAAACAGCUAGUGAGAAUCUGGAAUUUUCACUAAGUCCCUGAAAACUGAUAUUUUUGGCCAAGUUAGCAGCUGUGUAACUUUCAGUGUGAAACUCCUUUGCUUUAUCUUUUUGCUUGUGCUUGUAGUACUCUUGGAUAGCUUCUGCUACAUAUCUUAUUUGUCAUGUUUGGGUGGCUGUAGGUGCUUUGCAUGUAGCCCUCAAAGUGCUAUCAUGUUGUUUAUGAAGACUAGUUUAGUGCCCGUGCGUUGCCACGGGACAAAUAUAUAUAUAUAUAAAUACAUUGAUCAAAUAAUUGUUAUUCAGAAGUGUAUGUCAAACAUGAUGGACAAAUACCGGUCCUUUCUAUACUUAUUUUCAGAGCGAACGAGAGGUCUAAACUAAGGGUUUGCAAUAAAAUAAGCAAAUGCACUCAAAAUAAAUGAUUUCAACCGAUCAAAAUGAAGGGAGGUGAGAGAGAGGUACCUUGGGUGAUGAAAGUGCUCCGGUUUCAACGGACAAAUCUCAAGCAUAUAAGAGAUAUCUAAAAGGCUCUUGUGUGAGGAAGAGAGAGGGGGAAUAUCUGAGCUCGAAAGAGAGGUGAAGGACUAAAUGUGUGGGUAUGGGGAAGGGGAGGAAAGACCUCAUCCAACAAGACAAUCUUAUCCUCGGGACCCUACCGCCAAGGUCCCGAGCGGUAGACUCUGCACCCUACCACCAUAGUGCUCGAUGGUAGGCACUUUGCCAUGUCAUCGCUAGCUGACGGCCAUCAGUUGCCGUUCUAUCCACCUAUGUCUCCCUAUCACCGGAGGGGCCUGACAAUAGGGUGUGAGUCUACCGCCAGACCCUCCCAUGAUAGGUAAAAGGGCGAGAUGAUGACAUUACAUUUUUACCAACGGGUUAGAUCUGACUAAAGAAUAAAAAAGGGUCAAAACAAGAAAUUUUCCCCUCCUCCCUCCGUGCAAAUUCCCACAGCCGAAGGCACUGCUCACGCAUAGCUGCAGCGCUGACACUUCAUGCUGCACAUCCAUCCAUCCAUGCAUUAUUCCAUCAGGCAUCAGCUACCUAGCAGAACAGUUCAAAACAGUACCAACAAAAACGCACAGAGACAGCCUACAGGAAAACAGUGCGCACAGUAUAACGUUGUAGACACUUGGCUCCAGUAUUUGUAUUUUACAGAUAGUGUAGCACGUUCUUGCAACUUUGCAAGGCAAAACAUGAGGAAGAAAAAAGUUCGGUUCCGGCCUCUCAACCAUUCCAUCAGUUUUCAAAAAAAAAGUGUGGGGAUUCCAGCAAAAGUUAAGAAGCCAAAAUGAACAGUUUUCAGACAAAGGAAUAAGAUGACUACUAUCAUGUGCAAGGCUGGAGAAAGAAGAGGAAAGAAUAGCUGACCAAUGGAAAAUUUCCUUUCUAUAUUUACUCAACUCAUCACAUCUCAUCUCUCUUAGCCUACAUGUACAUGAGCAGCAACGAUGCCACCUCUCCUCUCCCUUUGCCCGGUAUCUCCAAAGCUAAUCGAACGCGACACAUCCAUUGAGGCACAAGCAAGCAUCUACGCGAUCAAAUUGGUCGCCGUCGCCGGUCACCUUGGUACGGAGAGCUCCAUGGCCUCGAGGCCGACCGAGGACUCGUCGGCCCCCGCGAAAUCAGUGAACUUCAGGGGCAGGAGCUCCGACGAGACGGACUUUGGCGUGUCGACAUUCUGCAACGCCUCCCAUUUCUCCGCGAGCCCGUCCCCUUCCAGCAUCCUGAUCACCUCCGACAUCCGGGGGCGGUGGGACGGGUUGUUGGAAUUAUGCCCUAGAGGCAAUGAUAAAUAUAGUUAUUAUUAUAAUUCCUGUAUCAAGAUAAUUGUUUAUUGUCCAUGCUAUNNNNNNNNNNNNNNNNNNNNNNNNNNNNNNNNNNNNNNNNNNNNNNNNNNNNNNNNNNNNNNNNNNNNNNNNNNNNNNNNNNNNNNNNNNNNNNNNNNNNUGAACGCGGAGGUGCCGUCCGUUCGGUACUAGAUCGUAACGGAUCGUGGGACGGUUCGAGGGACGUGAAGACGUUCCACUACAUCAACCGCGUUUCUUAACGCUUCCCGCUGAGCGAUCUAUAAGGGUACAUAGAUCUAAUGUCCUCUUGUAGAUGGACAUCACCAUGAUAGGUCUUCGUGUGCGUAGGAUUUUUUUGU
rnacentral:lncRNA from 1 species